rnacentral:lncRNA from 1 species
AUCAAACACCAAAGGUCUGACCGAGUCAGCCCAAUUUGCUGACUCGACCCAGUCAGACAUUUAUCAAACACUCCCUUAGAAGUGCACUCUUUAAUAGACCUUGACUGCACACAUCUAUGCUCAUGAACCAAAGUUUUCACCAUCCAAUCGCUUUCUUCAUCAGAUCUAGAAAUUAAUACCACCCAAGGGCAUGUUGCUUUUUGUGAGCUGACUGUUUUAUCCUUGCAUUUGAUUCUACUUUUUGUCCAUGGCCCACCUGUCAUUUUCGGGACCACACCCCUGCAUUUUGCCCUAAUUCUUUUUUUUUUAUCAUUUUUUGAAAAGUAAAUGUUUCUCCUAGUUCGAAUUGAAUGCAUUUUAAUGUAGUCCUUCACUUCUGAUGAGGACUUAAAUAUUUGACCCAGAUGGAAUGCAGUUUCAUGUACUACUCCUGAUGAACAUGUGGUUGGUUUGUUUAACCUUCUCAUUAAUUUCUUCCUCUCAUCUUCUUCUACACCAGUUGAUUCAAAUAAUUGUGUAUCUAUCACCUCCAAAUCCUCAUCAACUGUGACAUCAGGUGCAUUGAAUGAUUGGUGGUUAUCUAGAUUUGGAAAAGAAUAAACACCACUGUGGAAGUCUUUCAUAUUCACUUCGACAUCCUCCACCAUAUUAAGUUCAUCCACUAAAAAGUCACUAUCGUCGCUUAUACUUCCAUCGGUACUAGUCUCAUCACUAAUAACAUCUCCAAUUUCUUCAUUUUCCCCCAUCUGUUGGUAAUCAUUAUGAUCCAUAUAAAAGAAAGGAUCAAAGUCUUCUGAAGGGACAACAUCUUGGGCUUUGUUAAGCUCCUCACUUGCAGGAUGAACUCGAACAUCUUUCACUACAUCUCUAUCAAAAUGUCCAAAAGGUACAACAGACCUAGAAAAGUCAUAGUUCUCAUUCAAGUCCAUUUUUCUACUACAUGAUCCUACCUUUGUACUUGUAAACUUUUUUCGAUUGAGUUCCGGAGAAAUAGGCUCAUUGAUUUCUUCCGAUACGACCUUAUUUGGAGAUAUAAAGUAUGCAUGGAGUCUAGUAGUUCCAUGUUCAGUAUACACCAUAAUCUCUUUAUGAUUAGCAACAUGCUUACUUAACAAAAGUACGUCUGAGUUGUUACCUAAAGGAAGUAACCCAUAAUCGAUUUCAAUCUCAGGAAUCAAGAAGUGGUAGUAGAUAGGCUCACCGUUGAUAUAACCUAUCUCCUUCAUCAUAUCGUCUAACUCAUGUACGGAAAACACGUCCAUGUCUACGUAGUCAACAUAGUCAAUACUCCCACCAACGUAACGUCUUCCUGGGUAUUUUGUGAACAUACCCCCAUGGUGAAUCUUGAAUGUGCAAAAACUACUUAACUCAACUGAAAAACAAAUAAAUAAUGAUAUGAGGAAAGAAUGAAGUCUCAAAAUUGAAUGUGCAUAAAUUACUUAACAAAAUUGAAAGUUGUUAACUGAUCACUCACCAUAAGCUUUGAUCAGGUCAGGAUUUUCUGAGAAUUUUGAACGGACAUUCCACAAAGUUAGAACGAUCGCAAAAGAUGAAAAUGAAAACCCUAGUUUCCGUUUGAUGUUUUGAAGUGAUGAAGAUGAAAAACCAGAGGAGAAAAGAAAGGGAUGAUUUCUUGGGGUAAUGUAAAUGGCAGCUAGAUGUAAGGAUCAUUUAUGAAUAUGAUCAUUUCGUGUAACAAAGCAAAAGACCAAAAUACCCUCGUGUGAGGGUCACGUGAUUUAGAUAAACGGAAACAAUUAAACGGAGUAUGUCAUAAGGACUAUUCGUGCAACAAUUUGGAACCAUAGGGACCAUACUCGUCCAAAAUUCCUCAUAAGGACUAUCUUUGGUCUCUUGUGCCAACCACAGGGACCAUCUGUGUAAUUUUGUCUUUUUUUAAAGAUAGUUCAUAAUUUUUCUAUUAUAUACAUUGUAAAUGAAAUUGAGAACUUAAGUAGGUCCUAGGACCUACCUAAGCACAUGGUGGAUACGCCCCUGUUACCCACACUAACCUCAUACACUUACAACACAAAUGAACUUGAACGGUCUAAGACCAAACCAAGAUAUAAUAUGAAAUGUGUAAGUAUAGUUUAAUAGAUGAAAGUGAGGUGUUGUUUGGGCUUGAAAAGUAGGGGUGAGCAUGGUGCGAUUUUUUGAGAAAACCGAACCGCAAACCGCAAGAUGCGGUUUCUAUAGGGUAAAACCGAUAGGUGUGGUUUUUGUUUCGGCGUGGUUUUACAUGCAUUUUCGGUGUCAUUCGAUGCGGUUUCGGUUUUUAACUGAAAAUAUGUGUUGGUGUGAUUUUUCAUACAUGUGUUGAUCUACCAAAGAAGUAAUAACCCCUAAAGAAGCUAGAGCAAGGCCUAAUUGAAAAUGAAGCCAAUUAUUAAUUGUGUCAUAAAGACCCUCAUGCCCACGUCUCAAUCGCCCUCUUGGAGGGAUAUGUGCAUCUAAAAGAUCUUUCAUACUGUGCCCAAUCCCAAAAUUAGUUCUAUACAUAUGCCCAACAAUAAGAAAAAGAAAUGCAAUAGCUAAAUAAUGAUGAGUCAUAUCAGCAUGUCCAAACCCGACUUUUCAGUUAACUUUCCUUUAUUUCCGGUACAGAUUCUCAUUUAAAUGUAUUUAACAUGCUUGUGAAAUAGUUAUAUGUUAUUCUUAUCAAAAUAUAGACUUCUUUAUGAUAUUACGAUUUUGAGAUUUGAAUUAUAUGUUUGAUGCAACAAGGGAUUUGGUUUUAUAAUCUCAAAUUCCAUUACUUAAUCAUUAUUGUUUAUACAGAUAGAGGCGGCUUUUGAUUCGAAUUGCAUUUUGCUUGUGAUAAGCAAAAGGAAAAUUGUUAAUGGUACGCACUUUGAUACAAAUGUCAAAUUUUAUAAAAAUAUAGCAAAACAUAAGGCAUGCACAGUGGCAAAAAGAACUGAAGAGGUCGAAGUUGAACAAAAUAUACUUUUAUUAAUAAGUAUUAUAAUAUAUUAAAUAUUGUCAGGUUUUUAUGGUGCUGUUUGGCAUUGUCCAAACCGCACCACACCGAAAAAUUACCAAUUAAGGUUGGAUUGGAAUGCAUAAUUAUCAAUUUAUCCUUAAUAAGUCAUAAAUCAACAAAAAUGGCCCAACAAUUUUCUUAAUCUUAAUUGUUGCCUUUGGAUUAGAAAUCAUCAACGAUCAAGAUUGGUUCUCACAAUUCUCUAAUCUCUACUUUUAUGUUGUUUUCAUUUGAACUCAACCCAAAAAUCUCACCAGUAAUCACCACACGAACAAAUCCCGUUCUUGAAAUGAUGAAACCUAUUUGUAUCCCGAAGAAUAAUUUCCCGCUCAACAAUCUUGGAAAUAAGCUUAGCAGCAAUAUGACAAUCCUCACAAACACGUAGAUUUUUAGUAAUCCGUAUAGGCGUAAAAGCUUUAGUAUUUAUAAUCACAAACACAAUAGCAAGCUUCUCACUAUGAACAGCAAGAUGAUUUCCUUUAUCUUCAUCUUCUAUAUCAUGAAGUGCAGAAUCCACUUCAGGAACAUACCCAAAAUCCCUCAUCUUCCCCACAAGUACUUCCAACUCUUGAUAAAUCUGUUUAGAUUGUGGAUGGGAUUGAUCUCCAGCAAGAAACGAAUGAACUUGAUUAUUAAGCUCAACAUUACUAACACCGGGCUCUUUUUUCACUCCUUUUGAUUUCAUUAUUGAACGAAUAUUUGUCACAUCUUUAAAUCUACCUGCUUUUGCGUAUAUAUUUGAUAAUAAAACAUAAUACCCUGCUUGUUCAGGGACCAAUUCAAAGAGAUGAUCUGCUGCUACAAGACCAAUUUCCAUGUUGGAAUGAACUUUACAAGCACUUAACAAAGCACCCCAGAUUCUAUCGUUUGGUUUUGUUUUCAUUUUCUUUAUAAAAUCAUAAGCUUCAUUGAUUCUUCCUGAUCUUCCUAGCAAAUCAACCAUGCACGCCAAGUGUUCGAGUCUUGGAAUGAUGUUAUACUCUUCGGUCAUCAAUUUGAAGAAAUGUUUUCCUUGGUUUAGUAAUCCGGCAUGGCUGCAGGCUGAUAGAACUGGAACGAAGGAAAUGGAAUCAGGGGCGAUUCCGGAAUUUUGCAUAUUUGAAAAGACUGUGAUAGCAGUUUCACCAUCUCCAGUCAUGCCAUAAGCAGAGACCAUGGAAGUCCAGGAGACGACAUCUCUUGUUGGCAUUUCAUCGAACACCUUGCGUGCUUCGUUUAAAGACCCACAUUUAGCAUACAUGUCAAUCAAGGCGUUCUCUACUGUUAGAUUAGGAAGAAGCCUUUUUGUUUUUACAUAUGAAUGAAUCUUUCUUCCUAGUAAUAAAGCUGAAAGAUCUCCACAAGCGGGUAGGAUGCUAGCAACUGUGAUUGAAUCCGGGUCGAUUCCGUAAUUCUCCAUUUGUUGAUAAAGAUUAACUGCAUCUUUAGGCAUCGAGUUGUUGACGUACACAGCUAUCAUGACAUUCCAAGAAAUUAAACUCUCUCGAGCGUGAUUCAUGAACAUUUCUUUCAUAAACAUCACGUUGGUAGAUGAAGUAGAAGUUGUUAAAGCAGGGGAAAGGCUGGCCAUGGUGCCUGCGUUGGGUUUUGAGGUAGAACAUUGCAUCAUUGUCUUACAAAUCUCCAAUGCAUCUUCAAACAUCCGGUUUUGGGCGUAGGCAGCAACCAUAGCAUUCCAGGAGACGAUAUCUCUACUAGGCAUUUCAUCAAACACCUGGCGUCCUUCCAGUAACCGGUUACAUUUUCCAUACAUUGUAAUCAAUCCAUUCCCUACAUAAAGAUUUGAAUGCAGACCCUUCUUGAGAACAGCAACAUGGGUUUGUAAUCCGACCCACAAAUUCUCAGACACGGAACAUGCUUUUAGAACUUGAGGAACUGUAAAAUGAUCAGGGUUAAUGUUGAACUUGAACAUGUUUCUGUACAUACGAAGUGCUUUUUCGUAGAAUUCAUUGUUUACGUAGCUUCUAAUCAUCACAUUGAAGAAGACUACAUCUUUUUGAGGAAAUUCAUCAAACAGUUGGCGGGUAACUGCGAUUUGGCGACAUUCAGAAUAAGCUUUCAUUAAUUUCAGAGCAAUAUGCGAUGCUGAGACGAGGUUUCCAUCAAUAAUUAACCUACAAUGUAUCUUUUUCAAUUGUUUGAUAUCUGGGCACUUGUCCAAGAUUUUGAUACACAAGUCUUCUGUGAUUAACAUGAUUGUUAAGGCGAGAUUUGAAUGAAUUUGAACUUAUAUUCCUUUCGCCAUGUUGUACCUGAGGGGCAAUCAAAUAGAAUGGACGAAGAUAACGAAGGUUUACUUGGUGGUGUUCACUUAAAAACAAGAAAUAUGAAGUUCUAAACGCUAUUUCUUGUUAAACAGAAAAUAUUUUGUCCAAUCUAAAAAUCCAAUUUUUGAGUAAGUUCAAGCUUAAGCUCAAAAAUAGUAAGCAAAACAUGUUUAAAAAAUAAAAGUUCGUUUGAAACUCUUUGGAUAGCUCGAGUAUAACAAUCAUCAUAAUUAUAGUCAAUAAAUCAGGCUCAAACAACCAAACUUGAUGUCCAGCCCUUGAUCAUCCAAUUGCCAACUGAAAUCAACUUAGUUUCCGGUUUUAGAAUCGCCCUAACAUUACAUAAGCACCAACUAGUUCCAAAAGUAGUUUUUAAUUCAAUGUCUCCCAUACCCGUGACUUCAAGGGUUUCCAUGUUACCCAACCUUACCAACUUAAGAUAAGUUCUUUACUUCAAUUACUAUAACAGAUCGAUGAGUCAUGUUCUAAUGACCUCUCGUCAUAUGAUGCAAUGCUUAGACUCGAGUCUUUUAAAGUCAAAUUCUAUAAUGAAAUAUACAUUCCUUCAAGUUUCUAAUGUGAUAUAAUCACAUUCUAGCAUGUAUCACUUCUAGCUACAAGCUUCUUACUUUAACAACAAUCACAAUACUUCUAUUGAUCGCUUUGAUUAUCUUUCAGUUCAAUCUUCUGGCUUAAGUCAGAUGCUACAUCGAUCUUGGUUCUCUGAACCACGUACAAUACUUAUCCUAGCUGUAAUCGAUUUGAUAUGACCACUAGGGUCGGAAUAACAAUCAUCUUCUUAGUCAUUACCGAAAUUAUGGUAAUGACACAUGAACAAAACAGAAUCAAUUACUAGCGUCUUGGUAACUCGUGACUUUCCCUGAUCCAAGUGCGAGUCGUGUGCUUCCAGUAGUAUAUGCCUCUACUACCUUUCACACCUACUCAUACUUGUCCCAAGUAUUGUCUUUCAGUUCUCCAAGUCACCAUAAAAGAAUUUCACAUAGUCAUUUAACACAUCGAAUAACAAAACUAAGGUUUAUAUUAUUUCUUGAAACGAUUACAUAGAUAUUCAAGUUCACCUUAUACCAUGCCUUUUAUAUUAGGCUACACCACAUGAUACUAUCUAUAUGGCUACUUUAUAUCUCGAUCUUCAGAUAUAUAUAGAUCCCUACUCCUAAUCCCUUGUAUCGUCACCUGCUUCAUCCAGGUUAGACUUCGAGAAUCUUCCUUUCUUAUCGAAUCUUGAGGAUCCCUCAAGCUUCUUCUUUUCUCAUGCCUUGUCUUAUUCCAGACCCUUUUUCCUAAAUUAGGUUUCCAUAUUCUUGGUUGCUCUAACGGUUGUCUUCAAAGUAGUUGCCAUUUUUACCAUUGCGCCAAAUUAUGCUGGCAAUCCGUUAGCAAAACUAUCUAUCUUGGAGAGUUCAGUAGCACCAAGUAGGGGAAUAACUUCAUCUGCUCGGUGAAUACGGUGACAUACUCAUCAACACUCAUCUUCCUUUUCUUCAAGUUCGAAACUCGUUGUUUAGGUCUAUCAGAUCUAUCUCUGAGCAGUAUUGCAUUUUCAACUGCUCCAUGAAUGCUUCCCACCUCAGGGCUUCUCCCCCAUGGCUUUGUAUCUGCCAAUAACUUCCACCAACUUAAAACUCUGGUCUUUAGUUGUCUGACUGUAAAGACGGUUUUCUGCUUGUUGCUGCAAUUGCAACUUUCAAAUGUCAUCUCUAUCUCGGAGAUCCAAUCCAUGAUCUCUACUGGCUUCGGGCUUCCAGAAAGACUUGGUGGUUUGGCACCUAAGAAGUUCUUAUACAUACGUUCAUCCUUAUCAAUCGCUUUUUUCGGGUCGUUCCUCCUUGCCACUCGGGGUUCAGCUUGACUCACUGUACGACUGUAAUUUCCCUCCUCCGACAAUUCUUCAUUCAGUUCGGGUUGCACGAUAGGCACAAUAGGUUCAUCCCUAUUAUCAAGAAACAUUUUUCUCAUCUCCUCCCUUUGUUCGGCCAUCAUAGCCCAAAUCAUUGCUUAGACUCUUGCCAUCGUGAUUGGCUCGGGUGCAGCUACUACCUCUGGUGCACAUUUAAUCACUCGUGGUUCAGGCUGUUAGUUUUCAUUAGCAUUUUCUAAUAUGUUGCGAGUUCUCACCAUUUCGAUCUAUACACUCUAGAGAUGUUCAGUGUACAGUGACGAGAAUUAAGAUAUGGAAAGCUUUAUUUACGACAGCCAUAUAAAUCUUCUUAUCACUCGUAAAAGUUAUAUACUAGUUCUAAUACCGUAAUUAAAUGUUUGGAAAUUUUGAGCAAAUGACGGUUCAUCAACAAUAGAGCGAAUCUCAUUUAGGAAUUCGUUGAUAGGUCGAUUUCCUUUAGGAUUUUUAGCAAGUUUGGAUUUUAAAGAGAUGAUUCUUGAGCAGGAGGUGCUGGCAUAGCUUGUGUUGAGAUGCUUUCAUGCUUCUUUUGUGGUAAAUACAGAGGUAAUGAUAGGUUGAAUGAAUUGCAUCUGAGCAUGAACCAAGAAUUGCAUCGAAUACUACAUGAUCUUGGCGAUAGCAAGUCGUGUAUUCAUGAUUAGGUUUGGAUUUGUCUUUGUCGAUAAUGAAUUUUGUGGUAGGAUCAGUCACCCAUGUGAUGUAAUCUUCCAGACCUAGUCCAAUAAAUGUGGACUGCACUUGUCGCCUCCAUACAUGGAAGUUGUUGGUGAGUAAUUUGGUAGGAAAGUGACUUGAGGCGGUGAUUUGUAUUUGGGAUGAUUGUGUCAUGGUGAUGUUGAUGAAAAGGAUUAGAGGAGAAAGGCAAGAUGAUCGAUUGACUCUUUAGAGUGUGUGUGCUCUGAUACGAUAUGAGAUUUGAGAAUCAAUGGGCUCGAAUGAAUAAUUUCAUUUACAAAGAUCGAUACAUAUAUAGAUGGUAACGAGAGUUAAAGAGCUAUACAUGGAAUUUACUAAGAAUAGAUUGCAAUUACAUACAAAUAGAAGAGAUUAUUGUAGAUUAGUCAUGAAGAUGUGUACGAUGUUAUAGUUAGAUUGCUUAUUUGCAAUCCAUGUUAGCUAAGUAUGUCAUGUUGAAUACAAAUUGUAUUAAAACAUUAAAGUUCCAACCAUUAUAUGUUGAAGAAGAAGCAAAUACGCCUUAGUCACACCCAUUCUAAAUGAUAUGGAUGUUAUGGUUGUCGUUUCUAUGCAACCAAAUCGUGAUUCCAAGUUGCAGUUGUCUUACCAAUAUAUCAUGUUAGGAAAAGAUGACAUAGCAUGAAAUAUUGUAUGUUACAACAAAAAGAUAUAUCUUAUAGAUGUCUUGCACAUGGGUUAUUCCUUUUUAAGCACUUAUAUAAAAAUAAUAUCACGUAUGUAUGAUAUCUAUUUUGAGAGAUUUUUAGCAAGCAACUCUUUGUCUAUUAUUGUUAUUGGAUAGAAAAAGUAUCAUCUUCGUUGGGAAGAUUUUACUAGGAUUAGAUUCAUAAUAGUUUGUCAAAGAUUUUACUAUUAUGUAUUUAUAAACCCAUGAAGUUUUCUAUUAAAUAAAUAAAUAAAUAACCAUUCACCAUUUAUAUCUUUUUGGAAUAGAGUUUGUUAAAUUCUAAUAUAAAUAAAAAGAGUAUUUAUUUAGAUUCACACAUUACAAAAUUACAAACUCCAAGCAUAAAUCCGAAACUUAUUUUUAAACUUCUUCAUUUAUAUUACAAGUUUUAUUCUUUUUUCCCAACCCACUUGGGGUUUCGAAACCCUAAAAAAGUUCUAUCCAUGGAAGUUCAUAUUUAUUUCUUAUCUUAAUGAAUUUAAGGUCUAAAUCAAUAAAUGGCAAUGUAGAAUUAACCGCAUAUAUUAAGUUAUUUUUGGAAGCUUUCCAACACAACACAGAAAGGAAAUGAUGAGAAUUUAUGGUACCAAAUAACAAAAUAAUCCCGGUUCCUAUAAAAAUUUAUUAAAGCUCUACUCAUGAUUUCAUAAUCUCCUCUAAUAUGAGGGUUACGUUAUUGUAAUAAUAACUAUGAUAAUGUAAAAGCCAUAACAUAAAUCGUCUUAAUUUAAGAAAUAAUAUAAAUCCCAAGAUAUUGUUUUUAAAAUAAAAAGGAAAAAAGUGGGAGUCCAUUAGAAGGAGCCAAGCUGAUUAUUUGAGCCAAGAGAGCACCGAUUUGUUAUCCUUCCACUGUUCGAAGCGAGAGGUUAUCGCAGCUCUGUGAAGCCAGCCUAACGCAUUGCCCUCUGCUCUAGGAACCAAGAAGCCCAAGCCUUCGCUCAAGCCACUUGAUCCAACUCCGAACUUGGAACGGGCAAACCAGAUUUUGCAACAGCUUUGACCCAACCAAACAAGGCUCGAUCUCAGUCCAUCCCACUUUAGAGCCCUCACUUGAGUCACAAGCUCGCGUUACCAAGCUCGGCGAUAAACGAAGUCCAUUUGAUGUAUAAAUAAUCGGAAAAACUUUCUCCUCCAAGCGAUGUGGGAUGCGAAACGAAAUAUUUUCAUCUUCAUUCUCUCUUUAUCUCUGUCAAAUACUGUGAUUACUGAUUACUGACUACUUAAACACCCAUGCAACGGAUUUCAAGUAUUUUUUUCAAUCCAUGGAUUUAGAACUGUAAACUGAAAAAAGAGAUUGUGGAAUAGUUUUGGAAACUGGAAUUUGUUUACAAGUUUUUCGUGAGGUGUAAGUGAUAAGAUAUGAUAUUUGAGUAAUUGGAAUCAUUCUCUCGAAGAUUCAAGUAUCAAGUAUGAAACUUAGACAAUAUAUAUACCUGUUUUCUUCUCUUUUUUCUGUCUACGAACCGAAUCCAACAUGAUUUCUCUACAAAAUCCGUGUCUUAAUCCUAAUUAACACUCACUAACCGGUUACCCCUCCAGAUGUUGCAGAAAUUUUCUUGAAUUAUCUCUUUUGUUUUUCACAAUUCAAUGUCGGUUGCUCCCUUUCUCUCUGAUUCAAGUAUUCAACCACCGCCAAAGACUUGAGAAAGUGGAGGAGUUUAUCAAUUAAAUGAGUUUAUAUGCUUUCCAACUUUUCGUAAAUUGCAAGUUACUCCCCGUACCUUUCGAAAAUCUUCCUUUAACAAUUGUGGAAAGUUGUUGAAAUUUGAAAAUAAAAUAAAAAUUAUAGUCAAGGGGAUCGUUUUAAAGGUUUCCAGGAGAUACUUUUGUUGAUAUAUUUUUGAAUAAAAAGUUAAUUAUAUAAUAGAUUUUUACCAAAUAAUGUGGAUAGCUAAAAAUGUGAUUAUGGUUUAAAAAAGAAAUCUAAUAAAUAAAGAUUAAAUAAAGAAGUUAUGUUUUAAUAUAACUAAAUUAAUGAUGGUAUUGUGUUUGAUGAAAGGACUAAAACUGAACAAAGAAAAAAUAUUUGUGUUUCACUCACAGAUACUAGCAAUUGAUGGGUCUUAAAUGAAAAGGAGUUGGAUAAGGAAUAAAAACCUUGUAGACGUUCACACUUUUCUCUUUUGAUCAAAAUCUUAUUUAUAAAUUUCAAAAUUUGAUUCAAACCUGUUGUAUAAUUUUAAAUAAUUAAACUCAUAAUUAAAAUUAUACUCUUAUCCAUAAGUUAAUAGAUAUCUUGACUCAUUUAUAGUAUUAUAGAUUACAAGAUUGUUGUGCACGUCACAAAGUAUCAUCCAUAAUAUAUAACAUGAUAUUUUACUUAAUACUAAAUAUACGACAAUUCAAAAAUCAUAUUUUACUAAAUACUUACGAUAACAUUUUUUUUUAAAUGGAUGUCUAUUAUAACAAAUAUGCAUGAGACAACGUAGUCGUCAAGAUAAAUCAUAAACAAAAUAAAUGUCUACUGUAGAAAACAUAUGUUUAACAUAUAUCAAUUGCACUUAGAAAAUAUUUACACUCUCAUAGUAUGCGUUCGAUAGGGAGAAAGCAUCAUAAUCAAUUGGUGAUUUUUUUGGUUGACGUGGUUAUGUGUUUGAUUAGAGAAGAAAGCAAAUAGUAUGAUGUCGAUUGAGGAUUUCUUGAGUUACAAAUAGGGUUAAUGUCAUAAAAAUUCUCAAGCUUUCAGGGUUUUGUCGGUUUUGCCCAAAGUUUAAUUUUAUGUCCGUUUUUACCCUAACAUUUUCCAAAAAAUGUUCGUUUUUACCCUUUUACCGGUGAUAACAGGUUACCAUUAUAUUAGUUUCGCAAAAAAACCCUUAAGUUUAUAGUUUUUUACGUUUUUACCUGUAAGUUUAUAUUUCUUUUACACUUUUACCCUUUGUAUUUUUUUUUUUCAUAUUAUAUGUAUUCAUAAAGAAAAAAUAUAUUUAUAUACGAAAUUUUUUUAAUUAAAUAUUGUAUUUACAUUUUUAUAAUGUUAUUUCUUCAUAUAUAUAUAUAUAUNNUAUAUAUAUAUCAAUAAAAAACAUAAUGAAUCAUAAACAUGUUUAUAUAAGUAUAUACAUAUAUUUUUAGAAGUGUAAAUAUGUAUUUUGAUAUAUGUUUUUUUUUAAGUAUAAAUAUAUUUUUAGAAGUAUAUAUACAUAUUUAUAUAUAAAAAUGUAAAAAUAUGUAUUUAUACUUUUAAAAACUAUAUCUAUAAAACACGUAUUCAUAAUCUUGUAAAAAAAUGUGUGUUAGGAUCUUUUGAUCGCAUUCCGAUCUUAUGAUCACAAUCUUGUAAAAUACAAAAAUAAUCGUAUGUAAGAUUUCAAUUUUGACAAUCUUUAUUUGAAGGAAUAUUAAAAUCAUAAAAUUAUGUUAAUGUGUAACUUGGAACUUGGUGACCCGACCCAAAACAAAGUCAAGAAACCCGACAUCAAAUAUCGAUGGGAUAAAUGUUUGGAAUAAGCUUAGGGUCGAUAGGCCCUAAGUCGUUGGUAAUAGAAGAAUUUUUCAGUUUCCGGCUCCCUACCUAUGAAGUAUGUCAUAUCGACCAAAUCAUAUUAAAUCUAUGUGUCAUUUUAUUGUUGCUUUUUUGCAUAACAAAUUGAAUACUUAAUCUCACAAAAUCAAAAACCUAACUUGAAUAUGAUCAUUGUCGUUGAUACAAUAAAAAUAUAAACCAACAAAACCUUGGAAUUCGGAUUGAAUCCACAUGGAGUUCGUAGUUAAAUUAUGUGUUUGAAAGAUUCAAUUAGCUAACCAAAGAUGCAAGAAAACUAAUCACUUUUGGAACAAUCAAAUUUGAAAUCCAAAGGACAAAAAUGUGCCAAUCAUAAAUUAGGAAUUUAGAAAACCAAAAGUGUAUUGCAAUCAAUUUCUAAAUUGAAUGACCAAAAAUAAUGACCAAAUCUCGCAUUAACUAAACAUUUGAAUGUAGUUAUUUAAUUUUUAUUGUAGCAUAGAUACAUAGACAUGAUCAAUAAAUCUUCUUAUUCUAAUAAAUGAAUAAGUUUAUUCUCAUGUUGACAAGUCUUCUCUAAUAAAUGAAGGUUUUUUGUCAUUUGUUACAUUCUCAUUCAAAUUGUUAAAUGUCAUUUUGUGGUUAUUUUGAAUUAAUUUUUUUCCCACAUAUCAUUUUAUGAGUUUUUCUAUUUUAUUAAAUUCCACAUAAUAUUUUAACAUAAUAGUUGUAAUAAAUGUAGUAAUAAACGGAUAUUAAUUUCACUAAUAAACUUACCUUUUAAUUUCAAAAUUCCCAAAAUUAAAGUUCAUUCGUUUCUUUUCUUUAUUUAAAUUAUGUGUUUAAAUUUAAAAGAUAAAAUACAUUUCCAUUAUAAUAAAUCAUUAUUUUUCUUAUUUUCUUAUAAAUUCAAAGUUCUCAAAUAUUUUGACAUUUAUAUUUAACAUUUUUUUUAAAUAAAUUCAUAUAAUACAUGGGUCUCGCAACUAGUGGCAUACUGUUAGAAAUCUUCAUUAAUAUUAUAUGUCAUCUAUCAUGCCACAUGUCAACCUAUUAAUUCUCCAUUUUAAAUUUUAAAAUUUAAAUUUUCCACUCUAAUUACAUUAAAUUAGAUUAUUUAUUUCAAAUUUUAAAUUUCACAUUCUAAUUACACUAAAUUAAUAACAUUAGAAUAAAAAAUAAAAUAAAAUUAAUAUAUAUUAUAAGGUGAUAUAAUUUAAUGUAUUUAUUUAAAUCAACGAUUAUAAUUUAUAUAACUAAAAAAAUAUCUCUUAAUUAAUAAUUUAUUUGAAGUAAUUGAUUAAUAAUUUUAAAUUUACUAUGUUUAUAUUAAUUUUAUAAUUAUAAUUCUCGCAGAUUAUAAACUAGUUAGUAGAAUAAAAUGACAAACUUUAGGCAUAACCCUUGAUAUGGCCGUAAAAUAGUGUUAACUCCAAAUCUAGGUGGAGCUCGGCACGAUAUAUCACAAUAAUAUUAACUUCAAACAAUUUAAAAAUAAAACUUAUGCAUAAAGUACGAGAAUAAAUUGUUGGGUUACAAAUAAAAUAUUGAAAGAGAAGAGGUUAAAAAUGGCCAACUAAAUGUGUUUGACCAUAUUUAGGGAGGAAGGAGUUGUUUCCCUCCUCCUGCCGAAACCGCUAAACCUUAGUCGGAGGGUAUCGAACCCAUCCAACCCCAAAACCACCGACCCCAUCUUCUUCAACUUUCCAACUUUGAGUUGUCUCCCCAGUGGGUUUCUCAAACCGUUAAACCCCUCUCUUUCUCUCUUGCUUUCAUCCCUUUCCUCCUCUAACCCGCUAUGACUCCUUCAUCCCUUAGUCACUCAACUUAUUUUUGUCUACUAAGAUAAGAAACUUUUCAAAAUCAUCAACUUUUAUCCAUUCAACUUAUUUUGUCAAUUUUUAGGUAAUGAUUUUAACUCAUUGCUCGCCUUUGUGCUUCUAAGAUGAAGUAUCUUGCAUAUUUUGGAGAAAGCAAAUAAGAAUAAAGUAUGUUGCUAAAUCUGGUCCCAAUAAACAAAUAUUUACUCAUAACAAUCUCACACAUAAGAAUUAUGUUAUCAUUAAAAGAUGAAUACGAAUGUUUUGUACUUAGCCUUUGCCAAGUUAUAUAACUUAAUUAAUUAAUUUAUAAGUCCAGACUUUACAAAGAAAAAUCAAGUGAAGUUAAUAAACACAAACUUAAGCAUCAUCAUUGGGUUGAUGCUCUUUUGGGUGUCUCGUCAAAGCUUGAUUAGUAAUGAUUGGAUCUCAUUCAUUAUUCACAUGUCAUCUUGAAACAAAGCUUUGUAAACAGAAUUAGAACCACCACCCCGUUCAUCUUUCUUGUCUCCUCCGCCGCCUAUCAUCGGAGUCUCACAAACCACGCUAUAACCAGCCCUCCGUUGUUUCUUCCUUUUGGAUUCUUUAUUAGAUACGGGUCUAACCUUGGUUGUUUGUAAUGGCUUCGGAGCCCAAACCCUCUGCAAAUCGGGCAUUCGGCCUGUGAAUACGAACCUUUUAGCCCUCUCUCUCCUCUCACGAGCCUCAAUUAACUUUUGUUCAUCAUCCUUUUCUGUCUCUCCUAAAUCCAAGUUGUCAAGCGGAGGAUGCGAUGGUUCGUCUUCUAAAAACAAUGAAUCGUGAAUCAUCAUCUUAUUAGCAGCAGCCAUCUCGUGACUGCUAUCCUCGCUGUUCAACAUCAUACCCUGAUCUUCGUUUUCUUCACCAAAUGGUAACAGGUCCAUUUCAUCGUAGAUCUUCUUCACCACGUCUUCCAGAUUCUGUGAAUACCUGAAAAUUGAAUUUAUCAUAAGCAAAUUAUCAAACAGUUGGUGUGCAACUGAGAAAUGGCUAGAAUUUGGAUACAAAAACUGUGGAAACUAUCAAAUAAUCAAACAAAUAAACGAAGUACCUGGUUUUUAUGGUUUUCUCGACGUACGCAUAAAGACUGAUAUCACCAUGAAAGCCUCCUUCCACAAGGUAUUGGAAGAUCUCCAAUAGCGAACAAAUCUGUUUCACAAGCUUCGUCUUCAAACUCCCCUUCAUACUCCCUGCAUAUUCGGACUGAAGUAUCUCCAUCCGGAGCAAAAUUUGUAAUUCGUAUCUUUAAGUUUAUUAAGGAAAAGAUUAGACCAAAUAAAGAUAUAUUACCAAUUUACCAAGAAUAUGUAAAAGAAAUAAAAAGAAUAAAAGGAUACUCUUUGACUAGGUAUUUUGAGGUAGAACUUGGAUCAUUAUCUUUAUGUUCCUUCAAAUCUUUGGGCUCUGUUAGUAGUAACUGUAUGAUUUCAGCAACUUGAGUAGAACAAGAUUCAUCAAGAUUUUCCAUCUUUUUCUGCUUUUGAGAUAACCAAUAAAUGGACGAGUUUACAAAACUCUCUGCCAUGAUCUUCAAGUCCACACCAUCAGAUUCAAGCCCCUGUUGAAUUCUCUUAGGCAAACUACUGAAAAAAGCUUCUGGAGUUUCUGAACAAGAUUCAAAAUCAGCAUCCCCAUGGAUUCUUGACUGUUGAGAACUAAUAGCCAUUGUAAGAGGUCCAUCGCUUUCUUGAUGGCUUGCAGAAAUAUCUUCAUUUACAUCUGUUUCUUUUUGCUGAAUUGAAUCUGGAGCCAUUUUGCAUGAUCUAUCUAGUAUGUUAUUGGAAGAUAAGCUCUUGUUUUUCACUUCUGUCAUCCAGCAUUUCAGAAACUUCAACUUCUUUGACUUUUUCAAGCCAUUGGCAAAAUAAACCUCUGUUAAGUCCACAUCUAAAAACUCAUAUGCAGCCUUGCAGAAUGCACUCCAUGUAAGGUCCCGAUGUGUGUGUUUUUUAAUCUUUCUUCUCUUUCCACCAGCUAAAUGAACAUAUUUUCCAGAUGGGGAAGUACCCUUUUGAGAAUCAAAGUCACCUUGAGAAAGUUUAUUCUCUAUCAAGAGGUUUGAUCCACCAUCUUUUUGAACAAGAGCAUUGUUAUGAUCUAAGAACAAGAGAACAGCUGAAUGAACUGUGAAGGGCUUGAGAAUCCCUGUGUGAGAAUCCCCAUUGUUAUUUGAUAUAGAUAACAAAGCCCAGUAACCCUUGCUAUAAAGAAAACUAAGUAAAAUCUGCCAUGUUGGAACCGAAUGCUUCUCAAAGAACUCAGAUUUUUCACUGGCUAAUUGUCCAAGAACCUUAUCAGCCAAAAAAAUGUCUAAACCAUCUUUCUCCUUUUUGGCAGAUUUUGCAGAUUGAACUAAAAAAUGAUCUGAAGAAAAUUCUUCAAGUUUUUCACACACAGUGUACUUGUGAACAGAUGUGAUGUGCAACUUCAUAAUUCCAUUGUUUAAAUUACCCAAAAAUGUGCUCACAGAGUUGACAACUUCAUCUUUUGAGCUAGGCUUUGAUGAUGCCUUUAGAUGCAGCACAUUAAGAUCACAGCAUUUCCACUCUAUGGGCUUACCAUGGACAUCCAAAAUCUCGAGACCUAAUUGCCCACGGAUCCUUUUAUCUAAUUUAGGAGAAUCUAGCAACUUAGAUGAGAUCCCAAUAACUGGAUAUAUCAACCCGAAAGAAACAAGCGCAGAACCUAGAACAAUGGAAUCCGCAGAGCAAAAUCCCCAACCAAAUUUCCUAAUUUCAUUUCCAAUAAUAGCAGAGUGCUUCUCGGAUUUAUUGUUUUUGCCUUCUUCUUCUUCGUGGCUAUGAAUGUCAACCCAACAGAAAUGUAUGUCCUUACUAUUAAAUGCAUCAUUAACAGCACCAAAACAAUCACGAAACCUAGCACCAUAAAUAUCUAAAUUCCUCAAGCAAUCAUUAUCGACAUCCACAGACACAAAAUCAGCUAAGGAUUUCAACGAUCUACAAACUGGCGACAACAAAAUAACCAAAUUUGAUCGGACAUCGAUGGGAUCAGAAUGAAUUUUACCUGGAAGAUUCUCAAUAUCGAACUCCCAGCCAUAGUCGCGAGCGAGCUGAAGCAAAGAGCUGGCUAUAUGUGAAGCGUUUGAAGGGGAAUACGUCAAUUUGGUAGAAGAGAUGGAAUUAAGGGUGUGGGAGAGAGAAUCUAGGGUUUGCGAAGGAGAAUUGAAGGAUACAGAAGCAGAAGAAUAACUGGGAAGUAGAUUGCGGAGCGUAGAGACGGAAUCGAGAGAGGAGAGAGAAGAGAAGAAGAGCUUGAAGGAGAAAAGAGAAGAUGAAAGAGGAGGGAAAGAUAAAAGAAUAUUGGAGGUAGCAAGAAUGGAGGUGAGGUAAUUAGGGUUAGGAAAUUGGGAUAGAAAUGGAUUGAGGUCUACGAGAAGAACUAUACGCUGUGUUUUUGAGAAAUCAAUGGCGUCCGCCAUUCAAGCUUGAUAUUUUAAGACUUUCGGGGAGAGCACAGAGAUACGGGGUUCUCGCUGUAGAAGUAGAAGAGCAGAUAUGCUUAUUGCAGAUCCAGGAUGCUAACUUGCGCCGCACCAACGUGGAGAGAGAGGAUAGAGACCGGGACAAUAUGGGCGGCAAUGUAGCAAUGGCGGGAGAAUUAUAUGAGUUUAAAAGUCAUGACCGGUUUAUACAAAUAUAAUUAAAAAAACGACGUAUCAUAAUUGUUAAAGUAAAUGAAAAAAACAAUUAAAAAAAAACAUUGUUAGACGAGAAUAUACUUAUUGAAUAACAUAUAUGUUCAAGAUGAAACUUAAUCCAUUAACCUCAUGGAAGAAUGACAUUUCAUUAUACUGAUAGGUUAAAAACUUGUUGGUUUUUGACUUUCAAUUGUUUAGAUGUAUGUUUGUGAUUCGGUUUCUUAUUUAAGUGUGACAAAACUAUAACCAUCAACUUUUCGUUAAAACGAUUAUCUUACAAAAUAAACUUCACUACACAUAUCCUACACUACACUCUUUAUUCAAUAUUGUUUUAUCCUAACAGUAAGCAAGAACUUGGAACCCUAACUAAGAGUUCUAAGAAAACAAAGAGCAUCAAAUAAUCUAAAGGGCGUAUUAUGUGAUAAUGACAUAAAACCUAACUCUCUCCAUUUAUAUAUAGCGUACAGGAAUAUAAUAUACACCUCAUUAUACAAGUUUGAACACAAGUGUGUCAUUUAAGAGCAUACAAAUGUCAUAGUACAAGUUCCAAAGCCAUUAGUGCAUUUAAUUAAAGCUCCACACGUACAAACAUCCAAGCUCCCACAUAAUAAUCCUUUAAAGCUUCAUCUCUACUUUGAUAAUAAUACCAACAGUCUGUAACAUCUUAAAAUUUAAGACUUUGUUAUUAAAUAAAUAAAGUGAAUAAAAGAGAGAUGAUGUAUAUAGUUAGAGCAUUAAGGAGUAAGCAUAUCAUUGGUUGAUAUGAAGUUUGGAAGAUUAGAAGUGAAAAUUAUAACAUCUUAAAAGUUAAAGGAUUAUUGUGACAGUCGGGUGAAACUUAGGUUUGACUAGAGAUUUGACCAGCUUAAAUAACUUGGAUUAAGUUGUGAAGAUUAUGAUGUUGAGGGGUCAUUUUGGAAGUUCAUUGAAGCUUCUAAGUUAGUUUGGAGUUAUUUUGAAAGAGGUUUUGAAAGGAGGGACCGAAAGUGGCAAGUUGAUAAAGUUCAAAAUUAGUUAAUGGGUCUUCGCUCCCAUUUGCUUAAAAAACAACGCGGUUGAGAGAAAGAGAGAGGUAAAUGGCGAUUUCUAUUAAGCAAAGGAAGAUUUAGAGUGGUCGUUGAGUAAUCAAGCUAGAAAUUGAAGAUAUAAAGCAACAUCAAGCUUAAGAGGUAUAAUUUCUUAUCCUCUAACUCUAUACUUCGAAUUCAAGGUUUGGGGAAAACCUCGAUGUCGAAAUUAGUUUGAUUCUUUGAUUAGGGUUUUGGUUUCUAACCUCUCUUGAGUUGUUUUGAUGAUCUCAAUCUCAAUCUCAAUCAAAUCAUCAUAUUGAUGGGUUUGAGGAUUUUAAUGAAACCCCUCAUGAACCCUAGAAAUUCAAAUUAUGGAUUUCAUGUUUAUAUGUUAGAUUGUAAUGGAUUCAAUGACCUAUAUGCUUUUUGAUGUCAAUAAACCCAAUUGGAAUGCUCAAUCACAUCCAUGAUGGUAGAAUCAAAGUAUGAGCGUGAAUUUUAGGUGAUUUUAGGGAAAUUGUGGUGAAAACAACAUAAUUAUUUAUAUAUGAGCAUUUGAUGAGUACAUGAUACUCAUAAACAUGAAAUGAUACUAAUAAUAUGAUUUAAAUGCACGAACAUGAAGGCUUGGGUGAUCUAUAGUUGAAUUUAUGGAAUAAUUGGCCAAAAGGGCCUUUUAGGAAAUGUAUUGACAAACAUAUAAUGAUUGACAAAUAAUAAGUGAAUGGCAUUCAUGAACAUGAAUUAACACUCUAGAUAUGUUAUUGGAACAUUAUGUAAUAUCCCAAAAUUUAAGACUAAAAAAUUUCUUUUAAUAAAACAUUUCUUUAAGCAAAUUCAUCAUUCCAAAACAUGAAUAGAGUAUUAAUUUCCAAAAUACUUGUUCGUUAUCGGAGUAAACAUUCCUAGGCUAUCUAAUCUGUGGUGUGUGUGCCAUGCGAUCACCCCGAGCUCUUCCCUCCGCUACCGGAAGUACCCGAAACCAAAACUGAAAACCGUAAGCACGAAGCUUAGUGAGUUCCCCACCCUACCACAUACCAUACAUUCACAUAUCAUACACACUGUCGGGCAAUUAUGGGGUGCCCGACCUACCCGGNNNNNNNNNNNNNNNNNNNNNNNNNNNNNNNNNNNNNNNNNNNNNNNNNNNNNNNNNNNNNNNNNNNNNNNNNNNNNNNNNNNNNNNNNNNNNNNNNNNNNNNNNNNNNNNNNNNNNNNNNNNNNNNNNNNNNNNNNNNNNNNNNNNNNNNNNNNNNNNNNNNNNNNNNNNNNNNNNNNNNNNNNNNNNNNNNNNNNNNNNNNNNNNNNNNNNNNNNNNNNNNNNNNNNNNNNNNNNNNNNNNNNNNNNNNNNNNNNNNNNNNNNNNNNNNNNNNNNNNNNNNNNNNNNNNNNNNNNNNNNNNNNNNNNNNNNNNNNNNNNNNNNNNNNNNNNNNNNNNNNNNNNNNNNNNNNNNNNNNNNNNNNNNNNNNNNNNNNNNNNNNNNNNNNNNNNNNNNNNNNNNNNNNNNNNNNNNNNNNNNNNNNNNNNNNNNNNNNNNNNNNNNNNNNNNNNNNNNNNNNNNNNNNNNNNNNNNNNNNNNNNNNNNNNNNNNNNNNNNNNNNNNNNNNNNNNNNNNNNNNNNNNNNNNNNNNNNNNNNNNNNNNNNNNNNNNNNNNNNNNNNNNNNNNNNNNNNNNNNAUAAACCAUUCCUUGGGCACCCGCCCUCUAUCAUUGGACCUCGUCCCGAAUAUCAUACUAGCAUACUGUGCUUAGGGCUAACCCCCGGGUCUUCUACUCAUAACUACAUGGGCCGGCAUUGUGGCCGUAGACCCAUUCAUACAAAGGGAAACUCACCUACAUUGGCUGAACUGGCUGAUGAACCCACUAGCUGCUACCCGACAACUCUCUGAAUUCCUGCUCCACUCGCUCCUUGAGCUGCCAAAAUCAAUGCAACAUUGAGUCUAACUGACUCCCGAAAGACAACCAAGUCAAAUCUGGUCUAAGUCAGAGUCCAGGUCAAAGUCAACCUCCCAGGUCAACCCUACUCGUCGAGUCUUCCUACUGACUCGCCGAGUUCAUGCGCUCAAAGUCCUUCCAAUCGCGACUUGAUUCGCCGAGUCAGUCCAUGACUCGUCGAGUCCAACGAUUUUUGAGUCCUGACCUGUCCAACUCACCGAGUCUCCACUCGACUCACUAAUUCGAGUCUUAACUCGAAGGGUUUGGGGUUUCGCGACCUGACUCGCCGAGUCCAAGAACAGACUCGCCGAGUCCAAGGCAAUCUUCAACCAACUCGCCGAGUUGUUCUUCAAACUCGCCGAGUUCCUGCCCAACUUCAUCUGACUCGAUGAGUUGUUCAUCCCACUCGUCGAGUUCCUCCAAAUCUUCAUGCCACUCGUCGAGUCCACUCAAAGGACUCGCCAAGUCCAUUCAGACCUCCAUACAUGCAGAGGACUUUUGAGUCAUGCAUGGACUCCAAACUGUAGAUCUACCCUUCCCAAGCCUAUUCCUCACGUAAAGUUGCAAACUUUACGUGUAGAGAAGGAGAUCUAGGCAAAAUACACCAUAAACUAGGGUUUAAGGCAAGGAGGCUCCAUAAUCANNNNNNNNNNNNNNNNNNNNNNNNNNNNNNNNNNNNNNNNNNNNNNNNNNNNNNNNNNNNNNNNNNNNNNNNNNNNNNNNNNNNNNNNNNNNNNNNNNNNNNNNNNNNNNNNNNNNNNNNNNNNNNNNNNNNNNNNNNNNNNNNNNNNNNNNNNNNNNNNNNNNNNNNNNNNNNNNNNNNNNNNNNNNNNNNNNNNNNNNNNNNNNNNNNNNNNNNNNNNNNNNNNNNNNNNNNNNNNNNNNNNNNNNNNNNNNNNNNNNNNNNNNNNNNNNNNNNNNNNNNNNNNNNNNNNNNNNNNNNNNNNNNNNNNNNNNNNNNNNNNNNNNNNNNNNNNNNNNNNNNNNNNNNNNNNNNNNNNNNNNNNNNNNNNNNNNNNNNNNNNNNNNNNNNNNNNNNNNNNNNNNNNNNNNNNNNNNNNNNNNNNNNNNNNNNNNNNNNNNNNNNNNNNNNNNNNNNNNNNNNNNNNNNNNNNNNNNNNNNNNNNNNNNNNNNNNNNNNNNNNNNNNNNNNNNNNNNNNNNNNNNNNNNNNNNNNNNNNNNNNNNNNNNNNNNNNNNNNNNNNNNNNNNNNNNNNNNNNAAUAAUAGACUCGGUUCACCCUGACCCUGAACAUCCUGGAAACACAACUUACUUACCGACAAUCCUUCUGGUACUCACCGAGUACUGCACUGAACCUAUAGGGGUUCACCCCUUCUUUCCUUGCACAAUUCCUUGCCUUCCCAAGGCAAAGCUCCAUAACCAACUAUUCCUUCUGUCACUGUGAAGGCCCUAUCCUUCACCAACUCCAUCACCCCCGCUAUUUCCAGUACGGGUCAUAUCCGUCAGUAACCACUGACACCUCCUCUCUGCCAAAACUUGGUGCCGAGCACCCCUCGAUUCAAGUAACUGAAUUCCACCAUACGCUGCUUACCCGCAAUACCACUGACUGAAAAUUCUGCUAUUCCUUGUCUGCCUUCCGGAUGAACUGAGACCACCCUGGUCCCUACCAACCUAUCAAUGACUGGAUUACCGGCUCCCACCGGUAGUUGACCCAACACAACUACUAGUCGCUCCCAGGGACUUCCGAAGAAACUUCGACCACCUAUAACUGCUCAAUCUAUUCUGCUAUUCAGGCACUACAAACAUGGGAUCCCCGAUCCCCUAACUUGACACUAAGGUCCCUACCAGAUCCCACCUGCGCUGCUAAGACCCACGGGCCUCGCCCACGGGUCCCACCCGUCUCUAUCCUUCUAGUCCCACUAGUCUAAUCACUCUCGCUCGGGCCUCGCCCACGGGUCUCACCCCAACCAUAUCCUGGAGCAGCCUCUCCCAAGGUCUCACCUCUCUAGAGCUAAAUAGGCAAACUCCCUAUCAUUCUCAUCCACUACCCAUUCCUGAUCCCUGACCGAUCACUAGGAGGUAAGGGCCUCGCUCCAACUCCGCUAUCGAAGCUACUAAGGAAUGCUAUGGCUGCCCCGUAGUCUGACAACACUUCCGCCACUAACUGCUAAUACGAAGGCACCCAUGUGCCAUUAGCUCUCAAGAUCCUCAUUCUGACUCCCUCGAGUCCUACGGGCGAUCCACAACCUGAAUUCCCAACCACGUACUAACCAUUACCAUCACACGCACUAGUUGUUGGGGAGUUUCUCAAACUCCCAACCCUGAAAUCCUCAAUCCAUCAAAUGCUGAACUACCUCUUUUCCUUCUCGGAGGUUGCACCCUCAUUCUGGAUCUGCGUGCUCCUACCUUUUCACACUCGGAGGAUUCUCCCCCACUUCGAUCCUGCUUACCCCUUGUUGCUCAAUACUCAAAAGAAAUCCUUGCUACCAUUUCAUAAUCAAUCUGCUGAGGGACCCGUGCUUACCAUAGCUAGGGAUCUAACCAAUCCAUUUCUAACACUAUACAACUCCGAUCUUUUCAAUACUCAAAAGAAAUUCUUUUUAAAUGCUUUUAAAAAGAAUGUCUUGAAGGCAAAAACGUUUUUGAAAGUAAAGAAUGUUUUGGAAGAACAAAUGUUUUGAUAUGUGAAAUGUAUCUUUUCAAAGUAUAUUUUUCUAGUAACAUAUGCUAUUGAAAAUUAUGAUAUGUGUAUUGAUAAUGGGGAAUAUGAAAGCUAAAAAAAAAAAGUAAAAAGACACAAUGAAAACUACUCGGACCAUGAUACCUCAUAAGAGGCACUAGAGAAAUCUAUCGGGAUGACACCUCCCUCUUGCGAGAUAGAUGUCCUAAUUGAUAUGAUGCCUUGAUAAAUUGAGUUGCUCUUUCCACAUUAGUCUAGACUUGGGAGUGGUUCCUUUAUUGGGCGUAGACCCUAAGUAUAAAAAUGACAAUGAUUUAAUACCAUAAUUAGUCGUUAAUUAAAUAAUUGAAUGUAAUGUGUGUAACAUCGAAAAUUUCAAAAUAAUUUUUCAUUUAAAAAUAAUCGUUUAAUUCUUAAAAAAAACACUUUGCUUAAAAUCUCAUUCAUAAUCGAAUUACAAAACAUGACUCCAUUUCCACUUGCAUAAUAAACCAGGAUCCUCAAAACAUGACUCUUUCUCUGGUGUGUACAAUCGAGCCGGUGCCGUCCCGUGAUCCUGAGAGAAACCUGAAACACAUAACACAAAACACUGUAAGCACGAAGCUUAGUGAGUUCCCCAAAAUACCAUAUAUAACACAUAUUAGCCACUCGAGGCUAUAACUCUGUGGGUCCGUGCACCCAACUCUGUGAACCCUCAGGCUCUAUCUCUGUGAACCUUCCGGUUCUAACUUUGGGAACCUUCCGGUUCUAACUCUGUAAACAUGCACAUCAUAAAUCACAUAGAAAUAAUGCAGUACAACACAUAAGAUACAUAGCAUACAAAUACUCUGUCACAUAACUCUGGUUACCUAUUCAAGGUAAGGUAUAGUAAGAAGACUCACCUCGCGUAUCUCGGCAACUCAUAAAUCCCGAAAAUCACUAGUGCUCGAUCUCCCGAGUUAUAGUCCUCCUAUAACACAAGUAUAUCUCUAAUUAACACUAUCCCAACUAUGGUUGACUAAUUCUACCAAGUCAACACCAGUCAACUCUGGUCAAUGGUCAACGGUCAACCCAACUCGCCGAGUCUGGCGUGGACUCGCCGAGUCCCUACGGGGACCCGAUUCCUCUGAAUCCCUUCCGACUCACUGAGUCACUCACCCAACUCGGUUACUCAACCCCUGGUUCGAAAACACAGAACAACUCGCUCCAACUCGUCGAGUCUGCCAAUGGACUCGACGAGUGCAUUCCAUGCACAACCCCAAACGACCUUCUGAGGUCAGAUCUGUUCCACUAACUCAUAGAUCCAGUCUUUCCAAGCUCAUUUAUCACGUAAAGUUUAUGUCUUGGCGCUCAUAUCACACCUAUUGACUCAUAAGUGGUGUUUUAACCUCAAACACAAUGAUCCCAAACCAAAACCUCCAUAGACUCAUAUAAAGCUUGGAUAAAGAGGCACUCUAGACCUCCAUGGGUCCAGAUCCAGAACCUAAUUCGCUUAAGGGACCAUGGGAGCACUAGAUCUAGUCACAAAAGGGCUCAAUAAGCCCUAAAUCAACAUGAACAUCACCACAACAUAAAAUGGUUCGAAAAUAGUACCUCAAACGUGAUGUUCUGGACCUCAGAUCUUCAGGAAGUUAACCCUCUUGCUUCCUCUUGGCUAUAGCUUCCUUUCCCUUGCUAGACAACACCUCCAAGGUCGACAAUGGCUCCUUCUCUCACUCUGAACGCUCAAGCUCACUAGGGUUUCGCUCUGGGGGCUGGUGAGCACAAAUGACGGCCAUAAGACCCCUUUAAAUAGGUCCCAGACCUGAGAAAUUAGGGUUUCAUUAAACAGCACGGACUCGCCGAGUCCACCAAUGCGACUUGGCGAGUCCGGUCAUUAAUCCGGGUGAGAAAUCGCGUCUCUACUCGGCGAGUCUACGCACCAACUCGCCGAGUUCUUCCACAAAACUUGAAAUAAAAAGAAUAGAUAUAAUACCUGAAAUUUCGGAUGUUACAAUGUGAAAUGAAAUGCCUUUUGAAUUAUGUUAAGUCCAAUAAAAUGUUUUGAUAUGGAAUAGAAUAUGGAAAAUGUCUUAUGAAAUGAUAUAAUAUGAUAUGUUAUGUUAUGUAUGAGACAAUUUACAUGAAAAUACUUUGAAAUAUUUUUGAUAAAAAUAUGAUAAACGUUUUGGGUCGCAAACCCACGUAUCUCAUGAGAUAUUAUUGUUAAGUAUCUUUUUUUAAUGUCGUAUAUCAAAGGUUGCACUUAAGGAGAAAAUAUGAUAUAUGAAAGUUAUAAGUAAAGAGAUAGAGAAUGGUGUGGAACUUGUUAAGUUCCUUAUUUAUUGUAUUGAUGUUAUCCUUAUUUGCUUGCUAUUGUUUUAUUGAUGUUUAAUAGUAUCACACAAUGUUUUAACUGUAAAUGCUUUUAUGGUACCGAGUUUUUAUUAAAUGCGGGUUAAUUCUUGAAAAGAUUUUAUAACCAUAACUUUGAAACAGUUUGAAAAUUUUGGGGUGUUACAAUUUGGUAUUAGAGACAUAGUUUAAGUGAAUUAGGGGUUGUUUGGCAGGAUCAAAAUUUUAAGAGGUAUGAAUUCUAAAAAUGUCUGAAUUUUUAAGAUCCGAAUUUUAACAUGUUGUUUGGUUGGAACCUCUGAAUUAUUGUGUUGAAUGAUGAAAAUGAUCAUUUUAACCUUCUCUAUUAUUAGUUUUUUGCUAAAUUUAAUGCUUCCAUUUUAAAAAAUAACUAAACCAAAUCCUCGAAUAAUUACAAAACAAUUAAACACCAUACAAAAAACUAGACGGUGCAAAAACUUAUAUAAGGUUCAACAUCUAAGAUUUAAAGUAUCGAAUAACAAAUAUCUUUCUACUCAAACAUGACACCAAAAAAUUUCUUCAUACAAUACAUCAUACUUCUCAACUUCAACCAUUUUACACACAACGAACGUCCUUUAUUGAUAAACAAAAACCUUAAUAAUCUACCGGUUUUGAAUUUGAUUUUUUGAUUCAAUGAUAUGAAUGCUUAAGCAUCAUAUAAAGAUUGACAAAUGUUUGUUAAAUUUCAUAACAUUCAAACAUAAAAUAGUUACAAUUUUGGACAAAAAUAAUGAAAAAUGUUGUUAACAUAAAGGAAAAAACCCACACACAACAAGUGAAAGUUGAUCAAUUCCUUGCAAAUCCCUGUUGCUUGGGGUGGUUUCUAAACAACUUGCACAAAGCAUGUCCUGAUAAUCAUAAAAAUGCACAUAAUACACAUGAAUUCAUAAUAUAUCCAAAUCAGUAACUGUGAAACUCUAAUUUAAUUAUGAAAUGGAGUCAAACAUAAGUAUGUUACUCGAAAAGAAACAAAUAAAGAGUAAAGACAUCCAACAAUCAAUACUAUACUUAAUCCUACCGGUAGAUCAUCCAAUUCAAACUUCAUGAACUUUUUUGCAAAAUCAACAAAUAAUUUCAUCAAAUCUGGAGGAUAAUUUCAAAUUUUUUGCACUAGAACAUAAUUCGGCCCAGUGAAAAAAAAUUCAACAAAAUCAACACAAAUUCCUUAACACCAUAACAUAACUCCAUCAAAUAAUUUUAGCGAUUCAGCAAAAUCAGCACGAAUAAUAGCCUGAUUUUAACCAGAAAUCGGCGAUUCAGCGUAUUUGGGGGAGAGAGAAAAAAGUAAAACUGAAGAACGGUACAUACCUAAAGCGACUUAUUCUGCCCUUCGACCUCCUUCUCUAUUUGUGUUCCUGUUUCUACCGUACACCAAAGAUCAAGUAGGAGUCAGUUUUCUCCCAUGCUCAAUUGAUGGUGGCCGGAUUUGUGCGAUGGGCGUCGGUGCUAUGUGACGUCAGAGAUACAGGAAGAAGAGGGAUGGAGGCUGGUGUUCGGUGGAUGAAAGAAGAAGAGAAAGGGACAACAAGGGUAGGGCAAAAAGGGCAACACACCUUUUAUGGUUACAUGUCUGACCGAAUAAAUGAUGAUUUUAAGAUUCAGAUGCCAAAAUAAGUUAUAAACAAACACCAAUAAAUUCAGACCUAUAUCUUAUUAAGAGGUAAUACAAGGUAAAUAAAGAGGGCCUGAGGAUUGUAUCAUUUCACUCCUUGGCUUAGACUUUAGUUAUGGAAAGUGUGAAUGAGUUACAGGAUUGCUAUACCUUAAUUAGAUAGAAUCUUAUGCAACAUGUGACAGAACUGAAUUAUCAUGCUAGAUGUUUUAUGAAGCUCUAGAUAAGUUAGAUGAACUUAUAGAAUGCUAUAUUGAAUGCUUUUUAAAGUGAAUUUUGGACAAUAUAGACCAAUGGAUCAAAGUCUUUAAGUGGUAAAAUCAAGUUCGGUUAUAUAUAUGAUUUGAGUAUAGUAUAGGGCCAUACUAUUAUAAAUAAAUGAUAGAUACCCGAAUUGAAUAUAGCGGUACUCACAUUUUUUAUGAGAUAAAGUGAUAAAUAGGAAAGCAACAAUCGUGUUAUGAAAACUGAAAAGUACAAGUGGUAUUCAUAUUUCCAACCAAUAUCAAAAAUAUGUUGAUGGUUAUACAAUAUGAAAACGGAGACUAUAGCAUUGUUCUGAUUAAAUGAGUACCUUAAACUAUAACGCACAUAAUAAUAUGCUUAUAAUUCAAAUACAAAUAGUCUUCGAAGCAUAACUCAGUGAUUACGAAAUGCCCUAAGAUAAUUUAAGAGUUUAUAAUAGUAGAGACUAGCACAAAACCGACUUUUCUUCCUUUGGGUAGUUUGUCUUUACACUAAAUGCACUUCUCAGCAUCCAAAAUCAUCGUCAACAAAAGAGCAGCAGAACAACAAUGUUUAUCCAUCCUCCAAAUCUGCACUACACUCCUUAAUCUCAACCAAAUUCAUGCACAGAUUCUCAAACUGGGUCUCCAAAACAACCCACUAGUCCUCACCAAAUUCACUUCAACAUCAUCCGAUCUCAAUGCCAUUGACUACGCUUCAUCCAUCCUAUUCUCUCCGGAUGCUAAAACACAUCUCUACGAUACUUUCCUUUACAACACCGUCAUUAGAGCUUACGCGCAAACCCAUCAAUCCAAGAUCACAGCUGUUGAUAUUUACAAAACCAUGGUUUGGAAUGAUGUUACCCCUAAUAAGUUCACAUACCCAUUUGUCCUCAAGGCCUGCGCGGGUGUGGGGAGGUUACGUUUAGGCGAAUCGGUUCAUAGUAAGGUUGUGAAGUUUGGGUUUGAUGAGGACAUACAUGUCUUGAAUACUAUGGUUCACAUGUAUUGUUCUUGUGGUGAGGUUGAUAAUGCACGAGUCGUGUUCGACGAAAUGCCUAAGUCGGAUUCUGUAUCCUGGAGUGCAAUGAUCGGUGGGUACGCACGCAUGGGAAGGUCAACCAGUGCUGUUGAGUUGUUUAGAGAGAUGCAGAUUGCUGGGGUUAAACCCGAUGAGAUCACCAUGGUUUCUGUUCUCUCUGCCUGUAGUGAUUUAGGCGCUUUAGAGCUUGGAAAAUGGGUUGAAAACUAUAUAGAAAGAGAAAAGAUUCCAAAAAGCAUCGAACUUUCUAAUGCCCUUAUUGAUAUGUUCACUAAAUGUGGCGACAUGGAUAAAGCUUUAAGGCUAUUCAAAACCUUGGAUCAUAAAACCAUCGUUUCUUGGACUUCUGUGAUUGUGGGCAUGGCAAUGCAUGGACGUGGGUUAGAAGCUGCUUCAUUGUUUGAAAAAAUGAAUCUUUCUGGGGUCCCACCAGAUGAUGUCACUUUUAUCGGGUUGCUUUCAGCUUGUAGUCAUUCAGGUUUAGUCAACGAAGGCCAAAAGUACUUUGACUCCAUGACUUCAAACUUCCAUAUAAAACCCAAAAUCGAGCAUUACGGAUGCAUGGUUGACCUUUUCAGUAGAGCAGGAUUAGUCAAAGAGGCACUAGAAUUUGUUACCAAAAUGCCCCUUGACCCAAACCCGAUAAUCUGGAGGACGUUGACCGCAGCAUGUCGUCUCCACGGUCAACUCAAUCUCGGUGAAACCAUCACAAAAAAGCUGAUCGAAUACGAGCCGUUGGAUCAAUCUAAUUAUGUCUUGCUUUCGAAUAUAUACGGGAAAAUGUCGGAUUGGGAAAAGAAAAAGAAAAUCAGAGACGUGAUGGGCGAAAAGGGAAUAAAAAAGAUUCCCGGGAGUACAAUGAUAGAACUAGACAACAAGAUGUAUGAAUUUGUUUCGGGUGAUAGAACACAUGAUUUAGAUAAAGAGAUUCAUGAGAUGAUUGAUGAAAUGGGGUGGAAGAUGAAGAUGGCUGGAUAUGUUGCUACUACUUCAGAGGUGUUACUUGAUAUCAAUGAAGAGGAUAAAGAAGAUGCUUUGAAUAGACAUAGUGAAAAAUUAGCUAUUGCAUUCGCGCUUUUGAAAACGCCACCUGGCACUCGUAUACGCAUUGUGAAAAACUUGCGUGUUUGUAGCGAUUGUCAUUCUGCAACAAAGUUUGUUUCCAAGAUUUAUAAUCGGGAGAUUGUUGUUAGAGAUAGAAAUAGAUUUCAUCACUUUAGAGAUGGGAUUUGUUCAUGUAAAGACUUUUGGUGAAACUUGAUGUAAUUUGCAUAACAUACUAAACUUGCAUUUUACAUGAUUACAUAACAACUAUCAAGAUCUUUCUUUAACUCGACAUAAACAUUAAUUCUAUAAUUAAUCAGCUUGAUCCUAACCUUAAACCACGAACAAUGUCGGGUUAACACAAUGUAUAAUUCGUGCAAACAUUUAAUGUAACAAACAAGUUGCACUAGGUUCUGUAGAAGAACUUGCCCCAUAAGCAUUGUUGCAACGUGCAAUUGUAUUUUCUCCAGUCACAGUUGAUGUUAUGUUAAUCUGAUCCAAAGAAAUACCAGAACAUGCUACUUUGUUACUGCAGUCAAAAUUUAUUGCAGUUCGAGAUGAUGAUGUUCCUUGAAAUAAUCUGUAAGUUAUAUCACUAAUCUCCACUGCUGAACCCUGCAAAUCAAAAAUUAUAAGCUCAUAAUUCAAUUUUUUAAGUGAUUAUUAUUUGAAAAGGUUUUACCUCUGUAGGGCAAUUAUUUCCACUAGGACAAUAGUAUUGAUCCACAAGUAUCGGGUUAUUCACAUCAUGAAGUGUAAUUUGCUCAAAUGUGAUAUCUCUGGCAUAUCCAGAUCCUCCCUAUAUGAUUGUGGAUAACAAUGUUUAACAUUGACUAUUUAUGAUGAUGAGAGAAAAAAAUUGUAAUUUUUGUCUUACUGACACCGAUACAAUUUAAGCUGACAAACACAGUAUACCCUAUUACCUGCCAUGUUUUGAUUCUUGCUCCGUUUUGUGUUCCGGUGAAGUUGCAAUUUCGUACGUAAACACCUUCCACAGUAUCAUAUUCCCCAUUUAUGCCUAAACUUCCGAUGCUACAAAGAUUAAAGAAAAAAAUAACAAUAAGCGACAACAAAUAUUUGACCCAUAACAUUGAUCCGACCCGACUUUGAAUUUUACCUUAUACCAUGGCCCGGACCGCAAUUUAUGCCCGUAAUAUUGAUUUGAGAGGAUCCGUUGAUUAGAGCAAUACAAUCGUCACCUAACAUUUUAUAGCACGAAAUGUUGUCAUGUAAUAUAACAAAAUGUGAAGGUAAACCAAAGACAACGAAUAUUAUAUGAAGUAUGUACCAGUUUUAAUAACGGAAUCGUUUAUUUGUAUGUAGGUUGAGAUUGAGACGUCGAUUCCAUCAGUGUUUGGGCUAUUUGCAGGUGCAACUAUGUCUAAAUUUGAAAUAAUUGAAUUACUGCAUCUGUAUAGACCGAUAUGAUUUCUAGGGCUAUCAAGAUGCUUAAGUUGUCUUAAUCGAAGCCCAUAGCAUUUUUCAAAAUGUAACGCCUACAUACACAUUGCAAAAAAACUUACUAUUAUGGUGUCAACAUUCACAAUAUAGUAAGUACAACACUGUUAUGUAGCAACACGUUUUUAGUGUAUGUUUAAUUAAUAACGUUUAUUAAACAAGAUACUUACCGUUGGUGGUAUUGAACAUGUAGAUUCUUCUGUUAUCUACAAAAAAAAAUAUAUUAAAUCAGUAUAAUUAUAGUUUUAAAAAUCAAUGAUUGUGAAUAUUAUCUAAAAAAAGAAGCUAAAAUGCAUGUACAUCAGACAGAGAUUUGGUCCACCAAGCACUGCCACGACCAUCGAUAGUACCACCACCAUCGAUAAUAAGAUUGUUAACGUCAUAAAAUAAUAGCCAUGCCCCGGUUUCACAACUACCCCAUGAACUAGGGUUUUCAGGGGCAAUGAUUGUACCCAAUAUCUGCUCAACAUAGUAAAUGUGAGUUUAAUGAUGGUUUGCGACUUUGUGUGUUUUUUGUUCUUUUAUAACAAUUUGAUGUAUUUGAAAUAUAACAAAAAGAUUUUGUAUGUGAAAUAUAAGUUUGUAUUUUGGGAGGGGGGAUAGGAUUACCAGAAAAUGGAUAUUUGGAGAUUUACACGGGCCUUGAAAGCUGAUCGGGCCCACUAAGAAGGUUUGGGCCGAUGGUAUGAUCAUCCUUGACAUUGGUCCAACAUCAUUACAUAACUCUUGCCAAGCUUCUUCAAAAGCCUUGUUGCAAACAUUAAAUUAAACAACAAAAAGAUAAACUCAUUGUAUUUUAUUAGGUAAACACUUGGGAUUUGUUAAAAGCUUAUUCAAACAAUUACUAUUUUUAAUGCUUUAUUUUAAAAAAUAGAUUAUUCUUUUGAAUAAUUUAUUUUUUAAGACAUGAAAUUUAUGGAAAAGAAGUGUAAAUGAUCGUAUAUACCUUUGUAUUAUCAGUCAUUCCAUCGCCCUUGGCGCCAUAAUUCAUUACAUUAUAAGCACCACCAUGGCUAUGAUGUAACAAACAAAGCAAUAACAUGAUAAAAAGUAGCAUUUUUAUUCUACUUAUUAUACACAUAUAUAAUAUUAAGAAUGACUUGUGCAUGAAAUACAAUUCUCUGGUAUUGUGUAGUUUCUUUUCUUGAUCAAUAGUUGGUGAAUAUUUAUACAUAUUUGAUAUAUGUAUGUGUUGAAUGAAGUGAGGGAAGAGUCCAUGAUUUUGACUUGAAAUUUAAUGUUUUAAAACUUCCAAAAGAGAAAACAAGAUGUUGAAACUAGAAUCUAAACUUUACAUAUUAAAGAAUAUCAAGUAUCAACGGAUAUUCUCCAUUUCACCAUUUUUUGUUUUAUUACUCUAUUUGUUUGAAAUAUCAAACGUCUUUAAUUUCAAAAUCGUGAAAUAAGUAAUUUUAUAUGUAGUUCCAAAAACGGCAUUUGUCUAAUGAAACUUCAACACAUACUUUAUUUGUCUUAAAGGAAUAAUACCAUUUGGGUAAACUGUGAGAUUAUUUGUAACACAUCUAAAACAUCAUUCACUAAGUUACUAAAAGCAUUGUCUUUUACCUUUUAUGAAAUGUCAAAAGCGUGAAGUAUUUCGAUUUUUAUUCAACAAAAGUCGAAUCUUUUUUUGUCAUUUAUGAUAAAUCAGAAAUAAUGACCCUUACCUUGUUUUCUUUUACUGUUAUUUGGAAUAUAUGUUUCUUAUUGCAGCCGAUAAAAUUAUGCGUUAAAUUCAUAAAGAUUUUGUUUAGGUAUCUUGUGAUAAUACUUAAUUUUGUAUUUUUCAGGAUUAAUAAGUUUAACAUAAUUAGCUAUUUAUAAUAUCUAUUUUAGUCCAUACCAAAUUUACUUUGCUCUUAAAGUCCUUUUAAUUUAGUUUUUCAUUUCAAUUUAUGUAAAAACAAGAUUUGAACUGAUCACACGAUGAUUUAGCAUUAGCAUGACUGUUAUCGACACAACGUGACUAUCUUUUGACAUGAAUUAAUCUUGAUGUAACAUUUCACAUUCAAAUUUUGUUUUAUUGUUUGUUACCAUCAUUAAACAAAACACCACAUCUUUAUAUCAUCAUGUUAAACCAUUGUAAUAACACAAGUAAGAAAGGAUGCUAAAGAUCUACAUUUCCAACUACAUAAUACAUUAUAAACCAGAUAUGAUCACAAUGUCAAUCAAAAAAGGGAAAAAAGUCUACAAAUGGUUUACAAAAGUUGCUACAGAAUAAAACAUACGAAAAGGUGAACAUAUGCAAAUUGAUGCAACAUCAUAAACCAUUAAUUGUCAACUAUUCCUAAGAAGCACUGCAAGGACACAACUAAACAUCAGUCACAAUUUCCGUAAAAAAAACUGUAAAACAAGUGCAUUAGGAGUGGCAGAAAAAGUAAUUUGAUGGGUAAAUAAUACGUACUAUAUGUAUAGUAUUUAUCUAAUCAGGAAGCUCUUUAAUAUCCACUUCAACUUUUCUUGAAUCUAAUCAUCUAUAAUCACUUAGAAGUUGUUUGGCAACCUCUGAAUGAUUCAAAGGUUUGGAUCCGACUCUAAAUGAAAACAUGUUGUUUGGUAAAACUGCUUAACGGAUAUAUUGAACGUGAAUAAUUAUCAUUUUACCUUAUUGUUUAAAAGUAUUAACAAACACCAACAAACCAUCCAAAAAAUAAAAUAUUCAUACCAUCUUAAAAUUGACAAAAAGUCAUCACAUGAAAUAACAAAAGGAUUCUUUCAAUUCACCAUUCAUGAACUGCUAUACUACUAUUCCAUACCGAAUUACCACAUGAAAUUGCUAUACUACUAUUGCAUACCGAAUUACCACAUGAAAUAGCAAAAUGAUUCUCAAUUCAGCUUUUAUGAAAUAACAUUCAUACCACACAAAAAAUCUCUCUUUCAAUUAGUUUUCAUGAAAUAGCAAAAGGUUCCGCAAAUGGAAAGUAUAACAAUCACCACUACGAGUGAUAUCGUUGAAACAAAAGGACCUUUGACGAAGCCAUGCAUGCUUACUCAGACAUGAAAGUUCAAACUCUAUCGACAGAUAACUAAGACAUGUGAAUGCAAUGGUGCUCUAUCACAUGAUCAAAAAAUUCAUAGGAGGAAGGCGAAGAUAAGCUUCAAGAAGCCGAACAUACACCCAACCUUUCCGCUUGGAGAAUACAUGAUACUUGCAAGAGUAGAGAUGUCUACGAUGUCUAUCGACGACAAUUAUAGGGAAUAACACACUCUAUUGAAUUCGGAGUAACCGUAGACACAACGAUAACUAAGUGAUCACCAACCAUUAUCAAAGAAUCCGAAGACGAGCAUCCCAGAAAAAACAUAGUACGUAAAUGGUAAAGAAAAAAUAACUAAACUGAUAGAUUUUUUUUAUUUAAAGAGGGGGUGAUUUGGGCGGUACUAUGAUAUCACGCCCAUUAGGCCAUUACCAUUGAUGUGAUGAGACGACCAUUCCGUAACUGAAACAACGGUUUGGUGUCCCAUGUGCACAUGCAUUAAUACACCUUAGAAAGUGGGUACAACUGUAAAAGAAACAAUUAAAAAUGGGCACACUCUAGUUUCGAAUAACAUAGCACGAUUAACACUCACUUAGGGGCUGUUUGAUUUAAGCUGACCGGGUCCAGUCAGUGUUGACUGCUGACUCGGUCAGCAGUCGGAUGUUUGAUAAAUACAAAAUAAAGCUUACUCGGUCAGCCCAUUACUCUUACCCGGUAAGCCAAAAAAACCCUCCUGACUGGAAAAGCUACGCGUUUUCUUUUUGUCAUUUGCCCUCACUCGCCUCCUUCGCUAUCGGUAAUAACCUAGACAGUAGACAUCAGCCGUCUUCUUCUUCUCCAUCGCCAAGUGCUGAUCGCCUCCCUCCUCAUCUUCUCCGGCGACGACGCAGCCCAUCUUCUCCGGCGACGACACUGCGCGACUUCUCCGGCAACGACAAGGUAACUGCGUGUUUUUUUUUUGCUUUAUUUGAUCUGAAAUCACAAAUUGCUGCUCCCUAAUACAAAUUUCUUCUCCUGCUCCUGCUUCCCUAAUAUAAAUUGCCGCUCGUUCUUCCUCUUCCUCUUCGUUUUUUUUUUUUCUGAAAUCACACAACCCUUCAUGUUUGCUGUCAAAUUGAUGAUUUCAUUUUGAAAUCAAAGUUUGCAAUGUGUGAAACAUCAAAAAUCACAGCCCCUUAUAUAGUUGUUUUAUAUAGUUGUUAAAUCACAGCCCCUUCAUGUUUACUAAUGUGUGAAAUCAAAGUUUGCAAUGUGUAUAACAUCAAAAAUCACAGCCCCUUAUAUAGUUGUUUUAUAUAGUUGUUAAAUCACAGCCCAAUCAUGUUUACUAAUGUGUGAAAUCAAAGUUUGCAAUGUGUGUAACAUCAAAAAUCACAGCCCCUUAUAUAGUUGUUUUAUAUAGUUGUUAAAUCACAGCCCCUUCAUGUUUACUAAUGUGUGAAAUCACAGCCCUUAUAUAGUUGUUUUAUAUAGCUGUUAAAUCGAAUGAAUUGUGUACUGUGUGUAUAUGUUAUGUUUAUGUGCAUAUGUGUGUAACAUCAAAAUGCUCAAGACAAUGAUUAGAAUUUGUUACAUAGGUAUAUAUGCAUUACCAAACUGAUAUAUGAGAUCUUGUCUUCAAGUUAUGUACUGUGUGUAUAUGAUAUCUCCCAAGUCUUGUCUUCAAGUUGUAUUAUCUUUAGGUUAAACAAAAAAAUAUAUGUUUUAUCUUAUUGACAUCAAACAAAUAGUGUUAGCUAUUUGUAAAUGUGUGUUAUGUGGAUGAUUAUUUUUUUUUCUUUUUACAAUAGACAUGACAGAUAAAAGAAUUAGGGUUAGUUGGAAGUCGGAAUUGGUGGACAAAACUUUUUUGGAAGCAUGUAUACAAGAAUUAACAAGCAAUGGCCGGGAGGGUAGCGGACUAAAAGCAAGCUCAUGGGCUGUGGUCGCGGAGAAAUUGAAAACAGAUCAUAAUUUUAUUGUCGACAAAAAACAAAUGAAAAACCGAUACGACUAUUUAAAAGCAAAGUAUGCAGUGUGGUUAAAACUUAAAAACAAAACAGGAAAUAUUUAUAAUCCCGUUACGAAUUCUUUUAACAUGACUAAUGAAGAAUGGGAAGCGGAAGCGAAGGUACAUAUAUACAUAUUUUUUAAAGUAGAUUAUUUUUUUACUACUUUAAUAAUAUUUAUUAAAUUUGUCAAACAGUUGAACAAGUAUGUAGAUAAGCUGAGAAAUGCACCCCUCCCUUGCCCUGAACUUUGUACCCAACUAUUUGAUGGGGCAACCUCGACCGGUGUUCACAGUUGGGGGCCAUCUUCGACAUUACCUCAUCCCAAUGAAACCUUCAGUACACAUGAUUUUGAGGAUACAGAGAUGGAUGAGCCAGCACCUCAUGCAGAUACCCCAAGCUCAACAAUACCUCAACCUACUAGUGAGGAAUCAUCUGGGCGGACAAAAAACAAGGGAGGCAAACGAAAUGGUCCUAAAGAAACCACACUUGAUGAUGAGUUGAAAGAAGUUGGAAAAGAGAUUAUCAAGGCUGCACAAGCAUUCACCGAAGCAAAUAAUCUUGACAAGGAGAUGGAUGCUUGUAUGGCGAAGUUGACAUGCUUGGAGUGGGGAGAAUAUGAUCCGAAAUACACCACUGCUCUUAUGUUAUUUGCUGAAAGUGCUGGUAAUAGGAAAAUUUGGUUGCGCCUUAACUUGUCAACUUGUGAGUCGUGGGUAACAAAUGCGGGAAAAAAAUUUGGAUUAGUUGGUUGACUUUAGUAUUUACAUGUUACGUUUGACUUUAGUAUGUUAUGUUUCAUUGUUUGACUUUAGUAUGUUAUGGUUUAGUUAUGUUAUGGAUUGUUUUUCUUAGGUGCGGUUAUGUUAUAUGAAUUUAUAUGUUAUGGAAUGUUAUGUUUUUCGUAUUUACAUGUUACGAUUUGUUAUGUUAUGGUUUGUUAUGUUAUUGAUUGUUAUGUUAUGGAUUGUUAUGUUAUUGAUUGUUAUGUUAUUGAUUAAAAUGUAAUUUGUAUUUGACAUCUAACAGGACACAUGGAUAAAGAAGGUGACUUUUUAUAUUUUCUUAUAUUCUCGUGGUAUUGGUUGAUGUUGGUCCGACAAAGGCAAAGAAUAAUUAAAAGAAUAAGAGCUAGCGAACAGGUAGCAAAGGGAUAUGUGUAUACGCAAGAUUUGAUACACGGAUGUCCUAUACAAUGUUACGAUAUGAUACGUCUUUCACAAGAUGCAUUUGUACUAUUAUGCAAUCACUUUACACAAAGAAAUUGGUUGCAAUCUAGUAGGACGAUAAGCGUUGAAGAGAAGAUGGCUAUGUUUUUACAUGUUAUAGGACAUAAUGAACGUUUUCGAGCCGUUAAAGAAAGAUUUCAUCACUCCACACAAACGAUUCAUCAAUGUUUUCAUGAGGUCUUACGUGCAAUGAUGUGUUUUGCACGAGAAAUUAUAGUACCAACCUCGUCUAAUUCAACAACAAAUACCUCAGAACGACAUAGACGGCUAAUGCAGAUAUUUCCCGGAGCAAUAGGUGCACUAGAUGGAACACUUGUACAUGCAGUUGUGCCUGUUGAUCAACAAACUCGUUAUAGGGGAAGAGGAAAAGGUGAAUGUUAUCAAAAUGUAAUUGGAAUUUGUAAUUUUGAUAUGAUAUUCACCUUUGUAUGGGCUGGAUGGGAGGGCAUAGCACAUGAUUCUAAAGUUUUGAAAGAAGUUGCAUUUAACCCAACUUCCGGAUUUCCAUUCCCUCCACCAGGUUUGUAACUUUACUAUACGUUUUAUUAUCUAUAUUAUUUAUAUGAUAAAUUUGUCAUGCAUCUACAGAUAAAUAUUACCUUUGUGAUGCCGCAUACACCAACACCCGUGGAUUUAUGGCUCCCUACCGCAAUACUAGGUAUUGGUUAGCCGAUUUUCGAAGAAACAGAGCUUUGACUAAGGAAGAAAUGUUCAAUCAUGCUCAUGCACAACUUAGAAAUUACAUUGAACGUGCUUAUGGUGUGUUGAAGGCGAGAUUUCCAAUUUUAAAACAAAUGGCUCCUUAUCCUUUUCCAGUGCAAAGAGACAUAGUCAUUUCUUGUGUUGCGGUCCAUAAUUUUAUAAGGAAAUACGAUAUUGAAGAUGAAUUAUUUACGAACUUUGAACAAAACACUAUGGUUAGUCAUAAUGUGGGUGGUGGAGGAAAUGAGGGUCAAAACAUAGAAGGCAUAGAAUGGGGUUCAGAAGCCGUUAACUAUAUGACUAAUUUGCGUGACCAGAUUGCUAAUCAGUUAUUUUCAAAUGGUUCACGUUAAAUGGUGUACUUUUUUUAUUAUGUAUGACAAUUUGUAUUUGGAUUUUGUAUUACACUUUGUAUUUGGAUUUUAAUUGAUGUAUGUUUAAUUUGGAUUUUAUAUGAUAAUUUGUGGUUUUAUAAUUUUUUUAUCCAGCACAAGAGACAACAUAAGGGUAAUAUGGUCAUUUUUUCAUUCAGCACAACCAUUCAGAUAAAUAAUCAAACAACAUAAACUCAGUCAGAUAUGGACUCAGUCAGCAUUUCUAACCCAGUCAGCUUCUAACCCAGUCAGCUCUAACCCAGUCAGCAACUAUCAAACGACCCCUUAGUCAUCCUAUGGGACUUGAUAGGGCCCUACCUUCCGGACAUCGAAAAUCUUGUUAUUCCCAUAUUUAACCCCAACAUGUGGACCUAUUCCUGAGAAAUAAUAACAGGAGUAACAUGAGUUGGCAUACAAUAAGUGUUGAAAUAAUUAAUAUUUCAUUAUUAUUCUACAAACUAAACAAGGUGAAUCAAAUAUUAUAAGAUAUUGAUUUAUUUUGGUUAAGUGUAGGAAAAGAAGGACCAAAAGUGUUCAAAUAGGAUGUUGUUUAAGCUGAAGGUUGUUGAAACGGGAUGAAGGUGAGUAGAAGAUGGAAUUCAUGGCAUGCAUUGUUGGGGAGCAGUAAGUAGGGUGAUGGUGGAGAACCAGAUUCCUUAUAGAUCAUGUAAGUUCACUUACCAAACUGAUAUUUUCACCUUAUGUCUGGGUUACAGGAAAUCAAGUCUAGGAUAAUCCAAAAAAGACACUUGUGUAUCUUGGUACAUAAACACAAGCCAAAAGAUGAGUCCUAUAUAUGCAUGACAAAUUAGGGUUUCUAUCUUCUAAAUUAGUUAGGAGAGUCACAAAUUUAACAACUUAAUCAAUGGUUUCCAAAACUUACAACAAUUUUCAAUCUUACCGUAAUUACCCUACUAGAAUUUGGUUUUUCCAUAAUGAAAAUAAUUCAAAUUUCCGAAGACCUUUUAAGGUGUUACCCUAAACCCCUUAGGGACGUUGACCCUCGAUCGCCAAGGGCUCUGUCUCUUGGACCCUGAUAGGGGCGUGACCCCCUUAACCCCCUACGUUUUGCCGUAUUGGCUUAUAAUUUGAUCUUUUAUAUGCAUGCAUUAUGCGUUCACCAAACAUAUAAUAUAGAGUACAAAUAAUAAGCCUUUUAGUUCACAUGUUAGUUUCAAUUACCCAAAAUGCCCGAUAACACUAAAAUCACCAACAUGCAUCUCAUUAUCUCAAAGUUGUGAAGAAUGAAAAAGGUUAUUUUCGAUCCGGGUCAUAUUGUUGGAUCAACCUUUGAAUAUCAAGAGAAUGACUUAGGAUUAUCUAUAAUUAAAUUAAUAAUCAAUUAAUUUAAAUUAAAAAUAAACCAAUUGAUUUAAGAUUUAUCUAUUAAUUAACAUUUACUUAAAUAUAUUAAAUCAAAUAAGGAUUAUCUAAUUAAAUUAAUCAAAUAAUUUAAUCCUAAUCCUUACCCUCUAAAUUUUCGAAAACAAGGGUAUAAGAUUUAUUCCAAUUUUAAUUAUCUAUAUUUAGGCAAGUAAAAUGAUAAUUAAUAAAAUUUGAAAAACCCUAAUAGCCUACCAUAUUUCAAAAAUACUUGGGGGGGAGGCUAGGGUUUCAAAACCCUAGCCCUAAAUUUCGAAAACUUGGGGAAGGGGGCUAGGGUUUCUUAAACCCUAACCCUAGUCGAAAUUAAUGACCUUUUAAGGUUUAAUUUCUAUAACCCCUAAUUGAUCUAUUCUUUUAUUAUAGUUAUUUAACAGAAAACAAACCAAAUGCUCUAAUACCACUGAUGGGUUUUAGGCAUAACAAACAAACCUAAAACUCUUAAGAGUGCAUGCAACCUAAAACAAGAUCUAUGUUUUCUCUAUUGAACCUAUAACUAAGAACAUCAAAAAGAAACCCUAAGAACCCUAGUAUAUUUUCGAAAAUACUAAAAAAGGUUUAGGAUUUCAUACCUUUUAGUUGUUAUAGCAAACAACUAGAAAUCUCUUUGAAGAUCUCUUGGAAGUAAGCACCACGAGUCUCGAGCCUCUAAUGGAAUCACACCCAACUAUCAAGAGAAAAAAUUAGGAGAGAGGAGGGAAUUUAGUCCAAAGCUUGUGGAGGAAAGGCAUUGAUAAAAUCAAGGGCCAAGAAUCUCUUUAUAUAGUUGAGGAAACUUGGUGCCAUAGCUAGGGUUUAAGGGAUAUGCCCUGGAUCCCUUUGCUUGGUGACCAAACAACACAAUCCCUUUACCUUAGGGUCUUGAACGAAAUCUCCUAGGGUUUCCCAAGAGAUUUUUUGUCCACCUCUUUCAAGAGGUUCUAGAGCCUUCCUUUCUCAAAUAUUAUUAAUAAAUAACAAACAGUCCCUGUACUUUUAAUUAAUCAAAUUAAUCCCAAAAAUAAUUCCAAUUAAUUUUUGAUUAAUUAUUAAUUAAAUAUUACUAUUUAUAAUUAGAGAAAAUGACAAAAAUAGCCAUUUACACUAAUUACAUUACAAAAAUAGCCAAAGAAAACCGAAGUUGCAAAAAUAGCCCUCAAUUUCGCAGAUGGAAUUGCGCCAUCUGCGAAAUGACCAUUCUAUCUGCGAAUGUACAAGCAGCCAAAACACAACUGUGCUUUAGCCGCUUGUACAUUCGUAGGUGUUUUUUUUUUUAAUUUUUUUUCUAUAUAUAUAUUGAAAAUGUAGGGUAAAAUCGCAGAUGGAAUAGCCCCAUCUGCGAUUUACUCUCAUUCCAUCUACAAAUUUGUGAUUUUUUUUUGUUUUAUUUUUUUUAGUUUAACUAUGAAAUCAAUUGGUUUGACUACGAAAUCAUGUUGCUAUAUAAAAAGUUUUGUAGAAAAUUAUCAGUUUGGUUGUUAUUUGUUUAGGAAGUUUCUCUAAAAUUUGUUCUAAAAAAUGAUUGAAUAUUUGGUUUGUCUUGUAACCGGUGGGAGAUGGCAAGUUAAUGGAACUAAUCUGGAAUACGUAUGUCCACAUGGAGGUAUUUCUGAAUUUGCUUUGAUAUUUUCUGAGUAUAUUAGUUAUAGUGAUUUUGUAUCUUUGGUAAGAAGCAAAAUUGGUUUGUUAGACAAAUAUAGAAUUAGUCUUCGUUUUCACCAUCCUGAAUUAAAUUAUUAUAUAGCUAUAGUUGAAGACAUGGAUGUUAGAAUGUUGAUAAACGUAAUCAAAUGUAGUGGAGGAAGGGUUGUGAAAAUGUUUGUGGUGGUUGAUGAAGUUGAGGAGGUUAAUAGGGGUGGUCAAACUAGAAAUCAGUUUGUUGGUAAUUUAUGCAGUUAUAAAGGGAGCAACGAUCUGAUAGGUACUUUCAAUACUCCUAGUGUACCUCAGUUUCACAGUGUUGCUGAAAAUGUUAAUAUUAGCUAUUCACCUAUUCACUAUGUGGAUCAUGAGAAUUACAAGUCUGUUGGUGAUGAUGAUGUUGGUACAUAUCUUAAUGAUGUGGGUGGUCGUUGUGAUGAUGUUGCCGAACAAGAAGUUAAAGUUAUGAAUAGGCGUGUGGUAGAUAAAACUAAAAAGAAAAAAAAUUCAAGUCAAAAAAAUGAAAAAAAUCAUGUUUACGGGCAUUAUGUUGAUGUUGGUGAUGUAUGUUUAGAUAUAACCGAGCUACAAAGUAAUUCCGAUAGAGAUGAGUUGGGUGAUGAAGUUAAAGCUAAGUUUCCCGAUAACCUUUUUCACGGUAUGCCCCCUGUACCAGCAUGGCCAGUUGAUAUUAAUGAAGAUAUCCCAACACAGAUGGUAGACAUGAAUCUUCAAAAGAUUCAAUGUGAGAGUAUAUUUAAGAACAAAGAACUUUUAAAGCGGUGUAUUGGUAAAAAAAUGUCUUCGAGAAGGUUUCCAGACGAGGACAAGUAGAUCCACCAAAUCAAGGUAUGAAGCUGUGUGUGUUUCGAAAAAUUGUUCUUGGUUACUAAGAGCAAAAGCAAUUAAAAAUUCUGAUGGACUUUUCCAAGUGAAUAAAUUUGUUGAUGUACACACAUGUUCUUCAACAUUGUUGCAACCUAAUCAUCGACAAGCAAACAAAUAUGUUUUGGGUGAAUAUGUUGCUGAUGUUUUGGCUGAAGACUAUAGUAGAGUUUAUCGGGGAAAAGAAAUUGUUAAUGAUAUGAAUGCUCAAUUGAAUAUCAAUAUCUCAUACCAUCAGGCAUGGCGUGCGAAGCAAUAUGCAUUGUUGUCGUUAAGGGGUACGAAAGAGGAUUCUUUUACCAAACUUCCGGCGUAUUGUCACAACUUGGCCAAACAUAAUCCGGGUACUGUCACACAUAUUAAAACAGAUGCUGAUGAUCGGUUUGAGUUUUUGUACGUCGCACUCGGUUGCUCGGUUAGUAUUAUCAUGUCCUAAUUUUUUUUUAAUAUUUAUUUUGGUGUAUUUGAAUAGAUAUACAAUGUAUUGUAGGUACGAGCUUUUGUCAAUUUUUGUAAGCCGACCCUAGUAGUAGAUGGAGCUCACCUAAAGGGCGAGUUCAAAGGUACCAUGCUACUUGCAGUUACUAAGGACGGACAAAAUCAAAUAUUACCGGUUGCAUAUGGUAUAUGCAAAAAUGAGUGUACUGAUUCUUGGACAUGGUUUUUUCAAAAACUACGUGAUUGCAUAGGAAAUAUGCAGGAGCUUACAAUUAUAUCUGAUAGGUCUCCAUCUAUAGCAACAUCCGUUGCCAACAUUUUUCCUCACGCUCAUCAUGGAAUAUGUGGUGUCCAUUUGUAUUUCAACAUAGUAUCUAGAUUCGGCAAGAGUAAGACGGUUAAAGGAAUUUUUUGGGAGGCGUGUAGGGCGUACACAGUUGAUGCUUUUGAUGCUGCCAUGGAUGUUAUGAAAAAGACAAAAGAACCAGUAUGGGAGUACUUAAAAAGUAUAAAUCCAGAAACCUGGUCAAGGGCACAUUUUAAAGGGAACCGAUACAAUCUUAUGUCGUCCAACAGUGCGGAGUCUAUAAAUGCAUUAUCUAGACACGCACGUAAGGUGCCAAUACUUAUGUUGAUCGAUUUUUUUCGUGUUACAAUGCAACAAUGGUGGUUUCAAAGACGUAACUUUGCAGGUAUUAAGUAAAUUUUUAAUAUUAAUGUUUUAUUAAUUUUGAUGUUAUUGAUCUUAACUUCUUCAUUUUGGUUGUUUCUUUAGCGGAAGCAACAACAAUACUUACCCCUUAGGCGGAUGAAAUUGUAAAAGAAAACAAGAAAACUUUUAGUAAAUGGGAUGUUCGCAUGAUCUCAAAUACGAAAUGCGAGGUCAAAAAGGGGGCACAAAAUGUGAUUGUUGAUUUUCAACAUAUGACAUGUACNGCACACCUGGCCGCACACACACAUAUAGUGUGUAUUUUGGCCAUACACCCUCUUGUAUAGCCUUAUAAACCCUCAUACAAUCAUAUAUGAUUGUAACACUUCAUUAUAAGUGUUUAGUAGUCCCUAAGGUGGUUCCAAAAUCAUUAUUUCAGUCGUUCAUAACACUAAUUAUAUUCAUAUAUAUGCCAAUAUAUGCUAAAUAGGAUUCGCGUGUGUACUUAAGCCACCACUUGAUGCUUAGCAACUGAUCCAACGUUUUCAUCAGAACCACUCACUACAGGUGAGUUCAUACCCCUUAAUCAAUGUUUUAAACUAUUUUUUAAAUGUUUUAUGGGGGAGGAUACAAGUAGAAUUAUGCUAAUUAUUAUAUCAAUCACAUGUGAUUAAUAAGCAGCAUUCAAAUGAUUGGCUACUCAUUAGCCGUUUUACUAAACAGUUUCCUUCAAAUGUAUUUCAUAAACACUUUAUGUGUCUAAAACUCCUUAUUUCUCUGUACAUUUUACUCUGUAUAUUACUUUUCAAACUUAUUUACAAUUGUGAUUCAAACAAAAGUUUCCUUAUACUAAAGUUGUUUUAUCAAACCCAUGCCUUCAAAACGUUUUAUAAAUUGACAUCAAGUCGAUCUUUUCUUAGAUAAUAAUUAUGUUCAAAGGUUUUACAAAACUUAUUUUAUGCUUUUAUAUUAUAAAUUGCAUGCCUCUAUAUGUAUAGUUAUAUAAGAAAUAUUUAAAAGACUUAGGACGACUAUCCACCCUAUUUCCUUUUCGCGCUUGAGAUGUGGUCUGUGGGGAUAUCGGGUACUCGUCCGAAGGUCAUUUAAAUAUUAGUUAUAUAACAUAUAUACAUAUAUAGUCAUAAAGGUCCUUCCAGUUCAUCCUAUGCCCUUGGGUAGCAAGGGUAUACAUCCAUGUCCAUACGUACCAGUUAGAUUACUAGUAAACUACCAUAGGGGUAGUUUAGGAAGAUACUAGAACCAUUACUAGAACGAAAUAUUAUACAAUGAGCCAGUUCAUUCAUGAGUCUUACUUUCUAGAACAUUACAAUACAUUACUAUACUUACUAGAUAGAGAGCACGUACACUACAGCUAGAACAUUACAGUACCUUACUAUACUAUUACAUAGAUAUGGUCACAUGUACAUGAGUACACUUACAGGAAUUACUAGUACACUUUAUAUGAAUAGAUUCUGUUAUAUAAUCCUUGUUCUUAUCUUUACCUUGUGAUUCAAUCACACAAUCGACAAGAUAAAUUGGAUUUAAUAUCCUAGUACCCAAGGAUACGUUGCGGGACUGACCAUUCCUAGAAUCUCUGUUAGCUACAGAGGUAAAAGCACAUCCACGGAUGUCAACGGUUGAUACCAUUACAGGUAUACUUUUGGAGACUGACUAUUCCUAUACCCAGCUGUUAGCAACAGAGGUAAAUGUACAUCUACGGAUGUCUUCAGUUAACAUUGUUAUUUGCCCGAGUACUAAAGGGUAAUACUAUUACAGUUAGGUCUUGGUAGAAGACUACAAUUAGAACAGUUAGGUCUUGGUAGAAGACUACAUUCAGAACAGUUAGGUCUUGGUAGAAGACUACAUUCAGAGCAGUUAAGUCUUGGUAGAAGACUCCUUUUGUUACUAGUAGGAAUCAUAGGGAUUUCUAGGGUUUUUCAAACGUUUACAGUUGUUUUACAAACAUGUUCAUACUUACAAUUCAUAUACAUUUUCAUACUUACAAUUCAUUUACAUUUUUAAUACUUACAAUUCGUAUACAUACAAAUACUUACAUUUCAAAUACAUACAAGUAUUUUCAUACAAAUUAAGACACUAAAAUUACUUAUGAUCUCACCAGCUUUAAAACUGAUACUCUCUUUCAAAAUUACUUGUAUCCUCAGGUCAUCAUAGACAGGUACCGAUGCAAGGAGAAAGGAAGAUGGAGCUUGUUCAAGACUCAUUUUUCAUUUUGAUUUAUGCUUUAGUGUUUAUCAAAAUUUGACAGAACACACUUGUAUCAAAAUUAUAUUAUUAAUGCAAUGGAUGAUGUUGUUGCUUGUUUACUACUUUUCAUUGUUGUGAUACUGUACAUGACGUCCUCCGCCCCAGAACGUUUCCACCGUUCAAUGGUUUUGGGGUGUGACAGUAGAAUCUAAAAAACAGUAUUUGAAUAGCUGUAUUGGUUGUUUAGUAAACUAUUUAUUUAACUUAAUGUCAAUUUAUAGUAGUUUCUACACAAAAUCGCAGUCCAAUCUUCUAAUAUGUCUGCAAUUCAUAGUCAAAAUUAACUGACGAAUGCAGUGUACUAUACUUAUAACACAACAGAUCAUUGUUCGAGUUGACAAAUCAUCCCCCGUCGAAUGACAACACAAUACAUUGCUACUUGAAUUGACAAGUCAUUGCACCGGGAAAAUAAGGAGUCGUUAUAAAUAGAUUUUAAUAUCCGUUGUAAUUGUAUCGUAUUACUUCCUCACUUGCAAUUAUUGACUCACCACAUAUAUGGAGGAACGAAGAGGAGGUCACUUUGGUUCAAGCUUGGAUUAUAACUGUAGAGGGGGAUUUUCCACCGGGUCCCCCACAAGUUCGUGCUGGAUCAUUUUGGUCUCGUGUCUGUCAUUUGUUUCACCAUUUAAUGGGGCGUACUCAAUAUCGAAGAAGAAGAGAUGUCAAAGCGAAGUUUCUGGAUUUGAAAAUAAAGGUGAAACAAUUUCAACGUAUUUAUAACGAGUUGGAUAAUGAACAUGCAAAUACGGAUGAAGACAUUCUACGGCAGGUGGCUUUGGAACUAUACCGUUUUGAAUAUGAUGGUAGCGAGUUUACCCACUUAGAUGCAUGAAAUCUUUUAAAGAAUGUCCCUUAUUUUUAAUAUGCAUGUUGGUUAAGUUAAUUGUUUUUCGUUAUUUUAGUUGCUUGUUGUUGUAUGUGUGUUUUGUUACUAUUUAAUAAAUGUCCAUUUCUUUUAAUGUAUGUUGUUUCCUCAAUCGCCAAUACAUAAUACGACAUAAAAUAAAUAACUAAUAUAUAAUACGCCAUAAAAUAUAAAUGGGGUACAUAAGUAACUAAUACAUAAUCCGACAUAAAAUAUAAACAGGGUACAGGAAUAACUAAUACGUAACACGACACUAAAAUAAAAACGGGGUACAUAAAAAACUAAUACAUAAUACUACAUAAAAUAUAAAGGUGCUACAUGAAUAACUACUGCAUUGAGGGAGGUAACAGGACCAUCGUUUCAUUUGGUAUUUCCCAAUGCACAUGUGAUGGUAUAGUAUUCACCAACUCAGAUCCAUAUGCAAGUCGAUACAAAAAAUUAGUGAACUUGUAAUCAACCAUUCUGUGAAUGGAUUCAUAUGUAUGGGUUCUUAGACAUGCUAUAGCGUGGCCACAUGGUAUACCGCCUUUUUGCCAUUUACCACAAGUACAUACCCUUCGUUCAAGUUGUACGUUGGUGGUGGCAAAAUUGUCAUCGACUUCAAAUGUAUCCCCAUACAAACGUCUUGCCUUCCAAUUAAAAGACUUGUUGAGACGUUUUUGAACCUUACUCUCAACGUAAGGGUUCAACCCACCAGACAACCUCCUUGUAAAAUUUGAUAUUUUAAUAAAAAUAAUAGCACAAUAAAAAAACUAAAUAUAACAAUCUCCCUUACCCGCCACUUCAGCCCAUUCACCAUACUUUGAUUGUAUUGACGUAGUGAUUAACUCAAUUAUCGUUGUUAUAGGAAACUCACGUAUGGAUAUAAUUUGCGAAAUUUCAGGGACGUCAAUCGAUUUAACAUUGUAACGUACUUUUGGGAAAAAUGCUCGUGUCCAUUUUGAAAUCGGUAUAUCGUCAAGCCAGUAAAUUGGACUCCUAAGCAAGGUGCAGAAAGGUGGUUUCCUACAUGUACUUUGCAACCUUUCCAAACACAAGUAAAAAUCAUCAACGCUAUAUGCAUUGCAUGACUUCCAAAACAACGAUUCGACUUCCGUAUUGUUAUGUCCGACAGACUCACGUAUCUUUCGAGCUAUAUCUUUAGGACAAUAUCCAUGAUAGGAAUCCGGGUAGGCACUCUGAACACCAAAGUCUAUUUUAUCACAUAGGUUGCUUAUGAAACCAACCUCUAUGUCCUCACCUAAACAAUCUUUUAACCUCAUCAUGAACCAUCUCCAUGAUUCUUCACACUCUAAGGUUCCCAAACCAACUGCUAAGAGUAGUGGUUCAUGAUUUCCAUCUAAAACCACUACGAAGUACAUUGUUGUCAGAUUGCUCCCAAGAAGGGGUAAAUAACCCACAUAUAUCAACGGCAUCAUGCACCUAAGGAAGGUACGAAUCUACAUAAAAAAAAACACAUAUUAGUGAUAAGUAAAAAGUAAUCGAGAUACGUUACCAUGAAAUAUUAUAUAACUCAAUAAAAGAAGUAUGUUAUACCACGCAACCUAAAGCCACAAAACAGAAUUGAAAGCGGUUGGUAUCGGUUUUCUUAAUGGCUGUGAAGGUAUUAGGAUUUGUUAUUUGAAGGUUAUGCAAGAAUAUUGGUAGCUGAGAAAAGCUUCUUUCGGUGUAAGUACUCAUUUUCAAAACCAAUGAAAGUGUUUUACAAUCAUCACACAAAUGCAAUAUCACACAAAUGCAAUUAUAAAUAGAAAAUAUUGUAUCUCUACUGUUCAAAAUUCAUAGUUUAACUUUUAAAUUCAUAGUCAAACCAGUUCAUUUCAUAGUCAAAUUUCACUGACCGGCAUGACAAUACUACAGAAUGUACUUGUCUGCAAUUCAUAGUUCAACUUUUUAAAUUCAUAGUCAAACCAAUUCAUUUCAUAGUCAAAAAUCACUGACCGACAUGACAAUACUACAGAAUGUACUAGACUACAGUUCAUAGUUCAACUUUUUAAAUUCAUAGUCAAACCAAUUCAUUUCAUAGUCAAAAAUCACUGACCGACAUGACAAUACUACAGAAUGUACUAGACUACAGUUCAUAGUUCAACUUUUUAAAUUCAUAGUCAAACCAAUUCAUUUCAUAGUCAAAAAGAAUUGUCUGUAAUAUGAUUUCUUCUGUAAAUGGGUGUCACUCAUUAUGAAAAAUUUAACUGGGAAAGUAACUCGAUUUAAAAGAAAAAUAAGGCUAAUGGCAUACUGUAAUUGCGGAGGAGAACGUAUUGUUAGGAUUUCGGGUACAACUAAAAACCCAGGAAGAUUGUUUUACGCUUGCCCAUAUUUGGUAUCAUGUUGUUAACGUCAUUUAAAUUUAAACCCUCGUGUUUACAUGACAAAAAUUUAUUUUCUUACUGUCAAUGUUAAAUUUAACAGGGACCAAAAUGCGGGUUUAUCAGUUGGGUUGAUGAAGAGAAGGACCAAUCAUCUAUAGUAAUAGCUAAAGUAGCUAACUCUAAUAAGCUCUUUCAAUCAGAAAAUAAGAAGUUAAAGAUAGCAUUGGUUUGUAGUUGGGUGUUGUUUGUAACACGCGUAGAUCAGGGCUAGUCAAUUUAUAGACGAUAGGCGUCAAAAAUGAAUUUUUGAUGAAAGAUUAUUUAUAAUAAAUAAUCUUAACUAAGUUGUAGUAUAUGUUACAAGGAUUCUAUACAUAUAAAGAACACCGAAAUCCGAGUUAUAACGAAGAAGUUAUGGUCUGUCGAAGUUUCGCGACAGAACCGGCACGGCACAGUGCGACGUAAAAAAUGAAUUUACGUUAGAGUGAUAUUUAGCCUUAGCAAUCUAAAUGAAAGUCGUAGAAUACGUUAAACCAUGAGCGUGCAUAAAAAGAACGCCCAAAUCUGACUUCGUAUGAGGAAGUUAUGAUUUUUCGAAGUUUCGACUUAGCGGUAUGCAGUCCGAAUACUUGAUUUGAAACCGAGCGGUUUUUAGCCAAAACAAUCUAAAUGAGAACCGAAUAUCUCAUUAAUUGUAGUAAAACGAUAAAAAGAUAGGCGAAAACGGACGUCGGAUGAAGAAGUUAUGAUUUUAUAACGGAGUUUUCCUGUCCCGGCCUACUAAAAAUAAAUAAUAAAAAUAAAGUCAAAAUUAGCCGGCGGAGUCUAAACGAAAGUUGUAGAUCGUAGUCUCACCUACGCGUAGAUAUAAAGAACGUCGAAAACGGAGUUCGUAUGAGGAAGAUAUGAAUUUUUGAAGUUUAUUAAAUAUUUUCGAUAUUUAAUUUAAAUAUAUAUUGACCGAUAUUAUCCGAAGGGGGGGAGUCAGCGACCUUAUUGUCAUUACGCCCAGCGUAAUCUCAAGUUACGCCCAGCGUAAUUCGACCUUCCAGCCCCUAUAAAAGGGUGUCGAGGGCAGCCGAGUAGUUUGCUCAUUUCUUCCAUUUUUCUCGCGUUUUUGCAUCGUUUUUCGUGCAAGAAUUAUCCCGAAGCCCCGGUAUCAUUCCCGAGCCCCGAAGCAAGUCCCGAGGCCCCGAAGAUCCCGAGAAGUGCAAUUCCCGAGCCGAAGCUCUAUCCGCGAGGAGUCCGGUUUUUGUGAAGAUCUUUCAGAUCUGCCGAAGAAUACUACUUCUACAAGCCGUAGUGUUGUUCGAUCAUCUUCUAAUCAAGUGAGUGUGUGAUUACUUUCUUCUAACGCAUAAAUAUUAAGUAUUUGCUAUGAAAUACAUGCUAUGUGUAUAAUAUAAAGUUGUUUAUAUGUGUGGGUGUAUAGUCCAUUUCAUAAACACGAUUUUAAUACAAGUAUUGUUUGAAUGUAUUAAAUAUAUGUUUGGUGUGAAUGUGUAGUUACCUUCUUCUAACACAUAAAUAUGAAGUAUUUUCUAUGAAAUACGUGCUAUGUGUUUAUAUAUUAUUUGUCUAUUUGAGAUGGACGUGGAAUUGAUGUUGUAUACAAGUGUUAAAUGAUUUAAACUGUGUAAGUAUUUAUAUCUACGAAAAUGUUGGGUAGAACUUGGGUAGAUGGGAUAGUUGGUGAUUAUGGAGUUAGCGCCUAUUGUAUAAACCUUGACGACUAUGGAGUCAGCGCACGUUGAGUAAACCUUGGCGACUAUGGAGUUAGCGCUUGUUAAGUGAACCUUGGCGACUAUGGAGUUAGCGCUUGUUAAGUGAAUCUUGGUGACUAUGGAGUUAGCGCAUGUUAAGUGAUCCUUGGUGACUAUGGAGUUAGCGCCGCUUGAGUAAACCCCGGCGACUAUGGAGUUAGCGUCUGAUAACUAUGGAUUUGGUACCUGAUAGAUAAACUUUGGCAGCAAUGGACUUCGUUUCAAUUCCUUAGGUAAAUUCUUAGGAAUGAAUGAAUGAAGGAUAAUGGANUGAAUUCAUAGUCAAACCAGUUCAUUUCAUAGUAAAAAAGAAUUGUCUGUAAUAUGAUUUCUUCUAUAAAUGGGUGUCACUCAGUAUGAAAAAUUUAACUGAGAAAGUAACUCCGAUUUAAAAGAAAAAGAAGGCUAAUGGCAUACUGCAAUUGCGGAGGAGAACGUAUCGUUAGGAUUUCGGGUACAGCUAAAAACCCAGGAAGAUUGUUUUACGCUUGCCCAUAUUUGGUAUCAUGUUGUUAACGUCAUUCAAAUUUAAACCCUCGUGUUUACAUGACAAAAAUUUAUUUUCUUACUGUCAAUAUUAAAUUUAACAGGGACCAAAAUGCGGGUUUAUCAGUUGGGUUGAUGAAGAGAAGGACCAAUCAUCUAUGGUAAUAGCUAAAGUAGCUAACUCUAAUAAGCUCUUUCAAUCAGAAAAUAAGAAGUUAAAGAUAGCGUUGGUUUGUAGUUGGGUGUUGUUCUUGGCAGUUCUUGUUUACAAGUUGUAAGCUUUUUAAUAUUGUUUUUAUGGUUUUGAAGUUGUUAGGUCAAUAAAUUGUUGUAUUUAUACUUAUGUUUAGAACAGUGUACUUGUAACGUUAAAACAAAUGUUGUAGUCGUUCUUAUGUUGUAAAUAUUGAUAAAUUAUUAGUAGGUCAUUAAUUUGUUGUAAUUGUCGUAACGUUAAAUUUUUUUCUAUCCGUUGACGAAACUGUAAAAAUAAACUAAUAAUCAAAUCCAACAUUAAUUUAGAUAUACAAUUAUAUAAUCCAACUACAUAGGACCAAGACUAGACCCCCAAAAAAAUUUUGUCAUCCGUUGACGGAACUCUAAAGCUGCGUUCUUUGGGUCAAUAAGAACACGUAUUGGUUGACCUGAAACGAAUUGCUCCAUAAACAUACAAACAAAAACACCGCAAUCUCCCAAAUGACUACUUUGUUGGGGAACAUUUUCUUCAUAAAUGAAUUGCAUAUUCAAUGAAAUCCUUCGGAUGUUCCUCCAGGCCCAAUACCUAAUCUUGUCCAAAUAAUUUGCCACCCGACGUUCAAAUUUGGAAAAGAUUCCUUCGGAUUGGAAUUUUUCAUAAGCACCUCUACCAAGACUGUCAUAAAUAUGCACUUCCAUUGACGCUAAUCGUAGUUCCCCAAAUAGCCAAUGAUUAGGGGAUGAAUGAAUCGGCAAUAAGACCUGUAUAAGGAUCAGAAAAUAAAAUUAUGUUUAUUUACAUCACAAUACAAAAACAUNUCAUUUUGUCUUCCAAACGAUCCUUUUUUACCAUAAUGUGUAUCAACUGCUCAUCCUUCUCAGCAAGCCAUUUUUCAGUCGUUUUGAUUGCCUUCUUACUCUUUUUUAUCCAAUCUUUAUGCUCUUUGAUUUUGUUUUUAUUGAGGUCUAUCCAUUCUUGAGCUUGUUUGCAUUCCGAUGCAAUAUCAUUAGCAAGUUGAGUGAGAAGUCGGGAUGAAUCUUUGUCCUCUUCUUGUUGUUCUUCAGCCUUCUUCAAUUCUUCAAAAUUUUCAUGUGACAUAUAUGGCCCGACUGAAGAGGGUGUAAAAAAAGGGUCUACCGAAUCACAGUAGUAACAAUCUACUUCAUUGCAUGAGCAAACUUCGAAUUUGUGUGAGGAACUCAUAAUAAAGUCGACAUUGUAAUAAACUUGUGCUAUAAGUGGUAUUUAUACAUACUAGACAGGAAUGACAAGUCCAACUUUGAAAUGACUAAACAGUAAUGACAAGCCACUGCAGUAACCUGCAAAUCGUAGUGGAACCCUUAAGUGACAAGACAUAAAUGACAAUUUGACAUGAUAAAUCACCGCAUAAAGCUGAAAAUCGUAGUCCAAAUGUAACCAUUUCAUAGUCAAAGUUUUAAUUCAUAGUCCUGUAUUUAUUUAUAUAAAUAGAUGUUUAAGAUCUAAAAACCAAACACCCAAAUCACCUAAACAAAACGAACUCCAAUUAUUAGAAAUGUUGUCGAAUGCAGCAAGUUCUUCGAAUGAAGUACCUGGUUCCAAUUCUGAAAGGCCAUGGACGACAAACGAGGUGUUAGUUCUUACACGAUGCUGGCUAAGUGUUAAGGAUGGUGUAUCGUUACUUGCUCCCCCGCAUUGCCUAAUUGGUGAUGAAUGGACUCGCAUAACAUCUUUGUUUAACCAUGAGAUGGGAGAAGGACAACAAAGAGAAAAAUCAGAUUUUGUUACUAAGUGGAUGGAUGUAAAGGAAGAAGUGACAUGGUUCAAUCGAGCAUGUAAUUAUGCGAAAAGUAACAAUGUUCGUUAUCGGAACGAAGAAGAGUUCUUGGAAGUUGUUACAGAUUUUUACAUCUGUGAGCAUGACGGCAGAGUUCUUGGAAGUUGUUACAGAUUCUUGGAAGUUGUUACAGAUUGUUACAGAUGUUUCAAUCUACUAAAAACAAAAUAUAAAUUAAUGUAAGUAUAAGAACCUCUUUAACUUCACUAUAAUCAUUUACAUCAAACAUAUCAUCAUCAAAUUUGUUCCCCGCAUAGUCAUUCCUCUCCUCCAACACCUACAUUAAAAAUAAAACUUUAUACUUAAUAACGAAAGACACAUUAAAAAGUAAUUAUUAAAAUCGUAAAGGUAAUAUCUAUAACAACCUUGUCGUCUUCAAUAUCACCAAAAAUAUUUUCAGUUGUAUUGUUUUUAUUCAUCACUUCAUCUUGUACAACCUAUAUUUUCAAAUAUAAAAUAUGAACACAGGUAUUCAUAUAUGUUAAUAAAAUUUAAAAAAUAAUGUAGCGUGUAACUAACCUGGUCAUCAUAUUUUCUUUGUGACACUAUAGGAUCAUCAAAAGUAAUGUCAUUCCAAAAUUGUUCAGUAUUCACUUCUUUAACAAAAACAUCUGUAGGUUGUCGGUUCAUAAACACAUGCUGCUCCAGUGCAUGUAGCCGUUUCAACACAUCGUCUAGGUUGUGUUUCUCACUGCCCCUACCUCUACCAUGAGAGCAACCACUGGACGAUAUACUAGACGAAGAUUCGUCUUGUCUCCUAAAAUGGUCCCACUGAAGAUGNCUGGUUUCCCUUCACCAUAUACAUACUCUUGAAAUGACAUAUAAUAACAAGAUGUCAUCUCACCAUCACUCGGUAACAUGUUUUGUCUUGGUGUUUGCCCCUCCUAAAAAAUCAAACAUAUUAAAAAUGCAUAUAAAAGUAUAAUAAUCAAGUUUAUUAAUAAUAAACGAAAAAUUUAUAAACCUGUAUCUUUGAAAAAAUCUUGUUCACGUCAACCCAUUUCAAUUUUUUUGUUCCACUCCAUCGUUUCAUCCGAGGCAUGUCUUUAUUUUUUCUCAAUACAAAUCCACAUGUACGAACAGCCAGAAUCAUCUCAUAUAUCUAUAUCUAUAAUUUUUUACAAUUACAGUAAUUAAAGUUAAAAUUAAAAUAAAAAACAUAACAAUAAAACCAUUUAAAUAUAAGAAAAUUUGUAUACCCUUAUUGGAGCCGUAAAUCCUGAGACGGAGUACUUUAAAGUUUGACGACGCUCAGUAAGUGAUAAAUAAUUAUUUAUUUUGUUUCAUGUAUCCUCAAGGUCAACAUAAGUAAAAUCCCAAAGAUAGCUACCCUCAAGCGAAACUAGCAAAACAAAAAAACAAAAUUGGUUUUUAUAUAAAUUAUAACUUUAAUAAAAUAAAACUUUUAACGUAAACAAAAUAUACUUGUUCCAGAGAUCCAAAUUCUCAGCUAAAAAAAAAAACAAUCUUGUGGCACCCGAUCAUUAAUUUCUUUUCCCAAAAAACCUUCACACAAAAUGUAUAUCAAACAUGCUCUAACUGCAUCAACGUCGUCAACUUCUAAGAAUGUUAGAUUUAAAAUUAAACGUUUCAGGUCGUCGAUUUUCACCGAACUAUUGGUAUGGUCCGGAAAUAGCCGCUCACGCAAUAAACAUCUUUUUUUUUACUAGUUAAUAAUUUUUCCAACGCUUUUUUCCCAAUGUUUUUUGGAUACUCCCCAAAAUUGAAGCCGAUUAUCAAACAAAACUCUUCCGGCCCAUAAACCAUUUUCGUAUUGCCUACUCUAAAAUAUAAUCGUUUUAUUCCAUCUGGAGAUAAAACAGGGUCCGGCCGGAUCUGAUGAAGGAACAUUUUAUGGAACAACAAUGUGUCCCCUUAUAAACGAGGGACAUCCAUAAAAUAACCAAAUACAGUAUCUCUGAAAAUGACACGCCUGACACCAUCUAAAACUUCAAAUACCCAUAUAUUACCGCCCGAGCCUUUUAAGUUCACAAUUGCUUUCAUAUUGAUAAAACUAAAAUCAUGCUGCAAAAAAAACACAAAAACAAAUUAGAGAACUAAAAAAUAUUUUGUUUUUAAAAUAUAUGAUUAUGAACUGCAAUAAGUUUAUAAACAAUAAUAAUUUUAGUAAUGCAAAUACAAAUUCUUAAUUAAUAAUUUAUAUAUUUACGAUAAAAAACAAUAACAAACACAUAUAUAAACAAUUUUCCAAGUUAUAUAACAAAUAUAUUUACGAUAAAAAAACAAUAUCAUACAUAAUUAUAUAAACAUUUUAUUAAACAAAUUUUCAACUUAAACGACAAAUAUAUAAACAAUUUUUAUCUUUCUAAUUAUAUAAACUAACAUUUUAUAACCAUAUAAACAAACAAUUUUUCAAAUAAAACGACAACCAAAUUAACAAUUUUGCAAGUUAUACGACAAAUAUAUACAAAUUUUCAACUUAUACGACAAAUACAAACAAUUUCUAACAAUAUAUAUACGACAAAUUUUCAACUUAUACAAAUGUUAUACUUAUACGACAAAUAUAUAUACAAACGACUAUUUUGCACAUACUGUAAUUUAACUAUUUUUCACUUUAUAUAAACAAUUAUACGAUAAGAAUAUACAAGUUUUCAAGUUAUACAACAACUAAACAAACAACAAAAAUAACAAAUUGUAAACAUUAUCUACGCAGUCUCUACUUGUACAUUCAAACAACCACUAACAAAAUAGCAUUUAAAGUUCAAGUAUACUAAAGAAAUAUUAAAACUAUCAAACACAACAAAAUUACCCUUUCACAAACUUUAUAAUUUCUAUUUUUUUUACACUAAAUAAUAUAAUAAAUGAUAAAAUAAUAAAUAGUUAAAACAUUAAAAGAGUUAAAAUCUAACCAUAUUUGCGGGAUUGUUGACAUAAUCCUUCAUUUUCUUCAAAAACUAGCCAAAAUCGCGAGAAUAGCCCACAGAUAAAGAGAGUUUUUGUGUAGAGAAGGGUGAAAAAUGGAGAAAAAAACGUUUAUAUAGUCAAAACUAGGGGAAAUCGCAGAUGGAAUACUCAUUUCGCAGAUGGAAUGGUCAUUUCGCAGAUGGGGCAAUUCCAUCUGCGAAAUUGUGGGCUAUUUUUGCAAUUUCGAUUUUUUUGGCUAUUUUUGUAAUGUAAUUAGUAUAAAUAGCUAUUUUUGUCAUUUUCUCUUAUAAUUAAUAUACUAUUAUCAUAAUAUAUUAAUAAAUUAUUUAUUUCAAUUUAUUAAUCAAAUAAUAAAUCAGUCUCUCUCCAAAAGUCAUCAUGUCCAAUUGUUGGGUUUGAGGGCAACCCAAAAGGACCGUGCUACUAUCAAUUCAAGUAUAUAACAAUUAUAGUUAUGGUCUUAGACACCUAAUCCAACAUAUAUAUGGGCCCCACCCUGGGGUAUCUUUCAACCCAAUAAUACAAUAGUGGGCCCCGCUUUGGGGUCUAUUUCAACCCGAACAUACGAUAGUGGGCGCCGCCAUGGGGUAUAUUUCAACCCAACAUACAAACACAUAUAAGCUAUCAUCCGAGAUACAUAAUAAUGGGUCGACAUUGGUGCCUUCAGCUCAUUGAUACAAUUAGAAAACUCACCUUACAGACGAGUAAAAAUUGAAACAACACACUGCCCCAAAACCAACUCUACCGGUCACUUUACAAAUAACAGUGACCAAAUCUUAGAUUACAGGAUCAAAAUACUCGAAAUACCCCUAAGUCAAACUUGAUCAAAAUCCUGGUCAAAGUCAAAAGUCAAUUGGGUUAAAUCCAUUGGACAAAAAUCCUAAUAUAAGGUCUUACGUCGUGACUAUUCCUUGGUCACAUCGUGAGAGUCGACCAAGUACAAUUCCAACAACUCGUUCCAGGCUCAGCAACUCGUUGUCACUUCGUGAGACCUUAUGUCUCAUAUCGUAACUUCAGUCUGCAUCCAAAAAUCAAUGUUUUAAGUCCUUAUUCCGUUAAGAUAUUGAAUCCAUUUCAUCCAGAAGCUAAAGGGGACCCCUAAGGUCCAUAAAAGUGUUUGCUUUAUGGCCAUGCAUGCACAAUGCAUGACCCAACAUAUUCUAGGUCAAAAAGUGGAAAAUAUUCAUAAAACUCAUGCAUGGCUCUUAUACCACACUAACUUCUAGGUCUAGACAAUAUGAUGAUCAAAGAACCUUUGGAAUCUAUAAAGUAGCUAACUUUAUGGAUUUACUUCACUCAAGCAUGCUUAACAUGAAGAAAUAUGGAUAGAAUCCUAGAUCUACCCAUAAUAUGCAAUAAAGCUUGAAGUUUUGAUACUUACAAAGGUACAACAACAAGAAAAGAUGAUGAUGAUGAUGAUACUUUGUCCACUCCACCACUAGAACACUUCUUUCCUCUUAUUUUCUCAUUAUUUAAGCUAGAAAGUGCACCAAAAUGACUACGGGCUUCAAGAAUGAUUGAUAUCAAGGUUUAUGGAGGCUCAGAGUGUGAAGGAGGUUGAGGGUGAACAACCCUAGCCCUCUCAUUUCAUUAAAUACCAAAAAUAUAGGGUUUUGGUUAUUAGUCCACUCUCACGUUGUGAGCAACACGGGCUCACGUCGUGAGAAUCAAAGGAAGCAGGUCAACAAGUCAACACUGCCUCACGACGUGAGAGACAUUGCUCACAUCGUGAUUACAUCAAAAUGCUAAAGAAAACCUCGAAAUCAUGUACCUCAAAACUGAAUGUUACAGAAUAAAGUUUUAGGUUUAAUGAAAUAAUUUUUUUUGAUAAGUCGGGGAAGAGUAACUUAUCCAGAAUGACUUUUCUCAGGUGUGAGACUGCUAUAAGUUGUUUAAAAAAAAUAUUAUCUAAACUUUCUUUAUAACUUAUAUCGGUUCCAUACUGAUUAUAAAUUAAAAGUUCAUUUUUAAAACUUUCUUAGACAUCUUCUUAAUAUUCGUGUCAAAUAAAACAUAAGGAGUACAAAACAAAAUUUACACUUGGUUCUAGAGUUAAUAAGCAAAGGUUAAAAAUAAAAGGAAGGAAGAAGAAGGAACAUAAAAGAAGUGGGAGGGAAUUCAUACUUAUAAGGUUAAACCAGAGCGGAUAAAUUUCAAGAGAAAAAUAUAUAUUCUUUCUUUUUAUUCUUUUUUCGCUCACCUCUUUAAAAAAUCGAAAACACACCUUUUUACCUUUUCCUUAAAAAGAAACUCAAGAACACACAUUUUCUUCUAUUUUAUUCCACUUUUUUCUUUAAGUGAAAAUAGAGCAAAAUAGAGCAACAAGGUUUUCAUAACUUUACAGAUCUACCCUGCUAUUGCACGAAUGACGAGAUUUUUAAAGGGUUGAUAAAUAAUCACAACGAUGACAAAAUGGGGAAGGGAGGGGGGGUUGAUAUAAUAUUUCAAUCAAGUGUUUAACAUCUAUUAAGAAUAUCAUUGUUCUAAAAGGUGUAUCAUGACACGUCAAUAUUUGUGAUGACGGCAACAUGUGACUCUAGCUUCGCGAAUCGCAACAAUGGUGUUAUCUGGGCCUAGUGUGCCCAAAUGAUGGAGGGGCGUGCUAAGGCAAUAGUUUUUUCAAGAUGUUUUUUUUUUCCUUAUUCAACGAUAAACCCUUGAGUUUUGUUAAUUUAUUAUUAGUAGUUGUUGAUAUAAUAUUUUUUAAAUAUAAUAUAUUUGAUAUAACUAUAUAAUUGUAUGAUCUUUCUUUUUGUCUAUUCGAUUUGUUCAACGUAAUUGAGUAAUAUUAGAAUAUAUAAAAAUACCGACUUAAGUCGUAUUUUAAGAAACAAUAUGACACCACGUGACUCGUAAACAUUACAUUUCACCUCACACAUUUAAAACCUUGUAAAAUACUCAUUUCGUCCAAAAAUUAUAGUCCAUAUUUCCUUUUUGGUUUGUCCCAAAAUAAUAGUCAAUUUCUAAAAAUAAAUAACAUUUUUACCAAAAUACUCCCUCAUUAUUACUUAACCAACUAAGUAUUUAAUGGAACAUUAAAUGCAAAGUAAGGACAAAACUUUCAUUUUAUUAUAUAAAGUUAGUGAUAAUUAAUGCUUUUCUUAAUCUGUGUGUUUUUUGUCUGUGGACAAUAAUAUUGGGACGGAGGGAGUAUAACGUAUAUUGGGUUUUUGCAACUUGCAAAAUGGAAACGAUUGGUCUUCCACUGUAAGAUUUUUUUUCUUUUUGACAUAUAUUGUUUAACAUCCCGAUUUUCAACUCAAAAUUUUCCCUUUUUAUUUAUUAAAAUAUAUCAGAGUAUUAUUACAUUGUGCGGAAACAUGUUGCGAAUGUGCGUGUGUACAACUAAGCCUUGCACUUCUUACGAAUCAUUUGAAGUUCUUGAAAAACAUUUAUAUUCAACUAGGUAAGCACGAAGAUUAGUGAGUUUCCUAAAAUGUCAUAUACCACAAUAGAUAUGUAUAUGCAUAUAUCGAGUAUCUAGGCUCAUAAUCGCUUAAGUUCUUAUUGUCAUCACCUCACCUUUUGAGUAUCUAGGCUCACAAUCGCUUAAGUUGCUAUUGCCCUUUUCUAGGCUCACAACCACUUAAGUUGUUAUUGCCAUUAACUCACCCCUUUGCCUUCAGCAUAAAGCUGAUUCGCUACCUUGACUAUCCACAUAACANNNNNNNNNUAUAGCAAGCAGAUAAAUAGUCCACAAACAUGAAACUAACUAAACUAAUCUAAUUGCCUAAUAACAUACUGCAGCCACCUCCAACUAACUUAAGCAUAACAUUAGUCCCAAAGAUACUAUACUACCAACAUAUCCUACUGGUUCUUAUAUCCUAACAUACAUGGAUAUAUAUUGUAGUACACAAUAUAGUGAGGUAACUCACCUGGACAAUUACUUGGAAGUUUGACAACUAUCUAUGGAUAUAUAUUGUAGUACACAAUAUAGUGAGGUAACUCACCUAGACAAUUACUUGGAAGAUUGACAACUAUCUGGGCGAUUCUACUGACGAUUCAACUGGAAGAUAGUGUGCCAAACAAGUAUUAACCUAUAAUAUUUUAUCCUAUUAAUUUGUAUAAUGAUCUAGUAAUGAAAACUAGAUUCUUCACUAAUCCCAAUGAAUACCGAAUGUUCUAUCAAAUAAGGAUCAUGCAGGUCGGUCAAUCUGGAGGCAUGAUCAUUUCGGAGUAUAGUCUUUCUGAAAUCCAACAACCAAGCCAACGUCACCAUUCUAGAUACCUCUCUCGUAAGUAAAUAAAUCAGUAUUAUAGCCGGAAUUAAUGAUAAAUCUUAUUUAUAUAUUCAUAACAACAACAAUGAAUAUAAAUAUAAGUUACACUAAGAAUAUAAAUAUGUGUAACAAUCGACGAGAUCUACAACUUUCAUAUGCGUAACAACAACAAAUAUAAAUAUGCGUAACAAUCAACGAGAUCUACAACUUUCAUUUAGACUUCUCAACUAAUUUUGACUUUAUUUUUAAAGUUGUAUUUUUACCAGACUUAGACUGUUAACAACUGUAUAAAAAUCAUAACCAUCUCAUAUGAAUGUUAUCGACUGCCUUUAUAUCGAAGAAAUCAUAUGGACGAGAUCUUCAAUUCUUGUUUAGAUUGUUUUUCCUAACAAUCGACCGAUCUCUAUUUCAGUUUCUGUGUAGUACACUGUUGCACUGAAGUUUCUAAAAAUCAUAAUUUCCUCUUAUGAAGUCAGAUUCAAACGUUUUCUCUACGUAUGCUCUCGGUUUUGUGAUUACUAUGACUUUUGUCAGGCUUCUAUUAAAGACGUCUAUUUAUGUGACUGAUCUUUUAUACUAUAAGAUGAAAAUAGGUUGGUACAUAUUGUGGACCAUUCCAAAAUUCUGUCUCCACACAUUUUCAUACAUAAGUGAAUAACUAUUUAGAUCACAAGUCCAAAAUGACAAUAUGUUCUAACUUUUUAACGGUCUUAAGCCCAACAAUAAACCUACUACCAUGUAACCAUAACAUGAGUCCAAUACAAUAAAAUAAGCCCAUCAUUUUUUUGGGGCUAAUGCACAUCUUCUGUUAAAAAAACACAUAUUUUCAAACGUUAGACCAAAGAGCCAUUACUAGAUCCAACACUGAGUAAUCUUUGUCCAUAAUGCUGACCAACCUAUAUGAAUAAGCAGUUCCAGUAAUUAGGACCAAAAUGUGUAAUGGCCAAAAAAAAAACUAAAAUGGGUCCAACACAGGAAGUAGGCUCAAACUGCAUUAGUCCAAUACAUAAGUUAAAUGAACUUAAAAUAUUAUUUUGGAUAAAAAAUAUACUACUUAUCAAUCAUACUUAUUCUUUUAAAUAUGUUGGCUUUAAAGAAUGUUAAUCAUCUAGAUUAUCCAAAUUACUCAUUUUCAAACCAUCAAACCUAAAUGUCGUCCUAUAGUAAUAUGUACUUCAAAUCACAUUUAUUCGUAAUUUUCAUUCUAGACAUUUUUUUCUUUCUAAUUUCUCAGAAAAAUGCAUUUUUAACAUCAUGUUGAUACAAUUUAAAGUCUCAUUAAAAUUCCUUGAGCUAUUCACAUCCAAAUAUCAAAUUUCUAGUCCAAAUACUAAAAUCAUAAUCAUAAUAAUAAUAAUAAUAAUAAUAAUAAUAAUGCCAAAUCAUAAAAUAAAUGGCAUAUAAUGUGCUAGCUCAUAAAAAAAUGAGAGUUUGUUGUGUUGUCCUAAAAACCCAAUGAUCUUUUAUAGGAGGUCAAAAUGGUUGAGUUGAAAAUAAAGCCAAAAAAUUGUUGAUUUAUUUUAGAUUGAAAAAAAAUCAUAUNNNNNNNNNNNNNNNNNNNNNNNNNNNNNNNNNNNNNNNNNNNNNNNNNNNNNNNNNNNNNNNNNNNNNNNNNNNNNNNNNNNNNNNNNCAAUUGGUAAAAUAAAUAGAGAAAAUCAAAAAAUAAUAAUAAUAAAUUCCACAUGUUAUUAUUUGAUAUAAGCAAGAAGAUAAAUAUAAAUAAAAAGUAAAAAAUAUUUAAACAAACGUAAUUUAUUAAUUUAAUUAUCAUUGUACAACGAGUGAGAUGUCAAACGGGCAAUAAGUUGCGUAAGUAAGCCUUUUUGUAUGGUAAAACUAAUUCUUUUGAAGACUACCUCUAUAGAUCUUAGAGAUAUAACAUUGCUAUGCAUGAUCUGUUGUACUCUAUUAAGAAGCUCUAACGCAUCCGACGCGAGGAAACCAAAGGUAUCAAAUGCAAAUGGUAUGAACACGUGUUGAUUUUCCAUGCACGAUUUCUCAUAUUCUGUGACUUUGCUUGUAGCAGCUUUUAAAGCAAUCUGUCCCGUCGUGAAAUCCCUAACCCUCAAGCCCACAAGAAUGGAUACCCCUGUAAGGUCCACACAUGCGUGUUUCCCUUCAAACCAUCCAAAAAUCAAAAUGUCAGCCGGUAUGAGGGUUGACCUUCCUUCUGCCGAGUCAGUCAAGAAAUUCACAGGUGCCUCUUUCUUUGCGGAAACCCCGACACACUUAAAUAUGUCAAACAAAACAUCCCUAACCAUAUUUUGCCUGUAUUUGAACCCCAAGAGUUCUUUACGGUGAACUGCAUGCUCUCCAAAAGAGUCCAAACAUGCCUUGCGACACAUCAGACAUAUCUUGUCAGCUGAGAAUAUUAGGAUCAUGAGUCGAUAUUUAAGGAUAGUACGAUAAUCCACAUGAGACAUAUGUUGGUCAAACCCAUCUAUAAGGAUAAACUAGAAUAAAAUCUUGAGCAUGUGGUGCACGUAAGCACUGGAAAACCACUUUCUGUUGAGCUGUCAUGUUGAGAUGCACUUCCAUAUCUUGGAUAAUUUUACAAAAAAAGGGCACUCAAUAGUGUAUUUUGGGAUUUAGGGGGGGGGGGUGUCUUUAGUAGUAAAACUGCUAAGGUUAAAAUCCGGAAGCCUGUUGCUAAGAGAAGUCAAUGCACAAUCAUAAUCAGAAUCCAUACCAUAUAUGUCGUUAUCCCGUAAGAUGUGGUCUUAAAAAAUAUUUAGUUUUUCUUUCUUUUUCUUAGGCCAUCGGGUAUGAUAACGGGUGAACAUCUCUCCACAUCAUCAUCAGACUUGUUCACAAUUCAUUCAAUAUAGGUUGGAAAUGGCAAUGUUUUAAAACCUGGGUUUUUAGUUGACCCGGUGUGAUGACCGGUUCACGGGUCAACCGGUUCAACCGCCAAGUCAACCCGGUUUAUAGUCUUUUUCUAUUUUCUUAUAUUUUUAUUUUCCUACAUACUACAUAGACAUAUAAUACCAAUUAUUUGAUGUCAACAGAGUUUAAUCUAAACACAACAAACAAUCUAAAGACAACAAACAACCACAAAGAGUAUUAAUAACAUGUUAUAGAUCAAUAACAAAACAAACAACCACAUAGAAACCAUAGUUACGACCAAUCAAUCUAAACACAACAAACAAUCUAAACACAUAGAAAACAUACUUGUAGACAAAUCCAAACACGUUACGACCAAACCAAAUCAUGGAUCUUGAGAAAUUGGAGUAUUAUAAGCAUCAAUCUCACGGUCACUUAGUAACUGAAAUUCACUAUCAACUUCAUCAUCAACAUGGUCACCUUGUGAUUCAGAAGUCGGUUCAUGCUCUUGCUCAUCAAGCAUAUUUUCCAAAUCAUCAUAAUUAAGUUCUCCUUCCCGCUCUUCUUCAACCACCCAAAAUCCUAUCUUAUCAAUAUUUUCAUAGUCAACAGGAUCGUAAGACCUCAUAUCAACCUUCAAUCUACAAAAACAUUCACAAAAAAUCUCAAAUAUAACUUGGUCCUUUUAUAGCAUAGUAUAUCUUAGCAAGAUACCAUACCUAUUUUGUAAACGCAAGUUGUAAUGAACAAAUACAAGAUCAUUUAGCUUUGAUGUUCCAAUCUAUUCCUUCGUUUCAUGUGAAUCCUUUCAAAUACACUCCAAUUAUGUUCGCAACCGGAAGAAGAUGCCAUUUGACUUAAUAUUCUAAUAGCAAACUUUUGCAAAACCGGAAUAUCUCCGCCAAAUAACUUCCACCACUCAUCUACAAAAGAUAUAGUUAGCAAAACAAUAUAUUAAAAAAUACAAAAUUUUAUAUAUAAUAAUAACAAAUUAAAUUUAAAUCAUACCUGGACGAGUAAGAUUACGAGAAGCAAUGACACUAAAUCUACCAAAGGUACCUUCAGCAUCACGAAACCUGCCUAAAUUCAAUAUAAUAUUUAAAACAUCAUCACCUUUAAAAGUCUUCUCAACCAUUUCAAGAACGCCUUGAAACACCUCAUUCUUCUUACAAAGAUUUGCAUGAUCAUAUUGAAAAAUAGGAUUCAACCAAUAAGCCGCACAAUAAAUACUUUUUCUUAACAUCAUAUCCCAACGACUAUCAAUUAUGUUAGUGUAAGGCCUAUAUUAUUUCUUCUUCUUUUUAAACAAUUCCUUAAUCCCUCUUCUUGCCCGACACAUUCCCUCGUAAACAUAACUAACUGUAGGUUUUUCAUCCGAAUCACACAAUCGCAAAAGCUUUAACAAAUGAGUCAUUACUUUCACUGUAAUCAAACAAUUCUUCCAAAAGAUUUCAUUCAAGACAAUUUGUUUACAUUCAACCACAUUUCCCACUUUCAACAUCUUCUUAAACUCAUUAGAUAUGACCAUUGCUUGUAAGUCUUCUUUAUGAUCAUAUAAACUUUGCAAUGCAAUGAACACGGUACCAAACUGAGUAGCACCUGGACGGAUAAUUUCUUUCCAACCGGGUCUUUUUCUUAACCAAUUCAAGGGCCACUUAUGAUUAUACACAAAAACAGUAACCCUCGAUGCAAGAUUGACCAAACUUUUCACAUUAUCCAAUUCUUAAAGAUCCUUUAAUACAAGAUUAAGACAAUGUGCUGCACAUGGAGACCAAGUAAUAGAAGGAUAUCUUUCACAUAACUUAGUACCAGCAAGCUUGUAAUUAGCAGCAAUAUCAGUUACCAUUUGCACCACAUUUUUUUCUCCUACCAUUUCAACAAUCUCAGCAAACAAAUUACACAAAUUUGUAGCAUUGCUCUCUAUAUCAUAUGCAUCAACAGAUUUAAGAAAUGAUAUCUUUUUCGGACAAUAAACCAAGAAAUUAAUCAAAUGUCGUUGUGAAACAUCCCUCCACCAUCACUCAUAAUUGUGCAUCCAGUAUCAACCCAUUGACUUCUUAACGAAUCAAUUAUCAAUGAAACUGACUUUUUUGCAUCUGUCAAUAAAUUAACCUUUAGAGCAUGAUAAUUAGGUGCUUUGUAUCCAUAAUCAGUACUUGCUAUUUUAUCUACCAUAAGUUGAAAAAAAGGAGAGUUGCAAGCAUUCAUAGGUAUAUAUGCAUCAUAAAACCACAUAGCAAUAGCUAAAUCCACAUCAUGUAUUUUUGCCUUACUUUGCAUUGCAGAUUUGAUAGUGGUUGGGAAGGAUCAUUUAUACCUUUCAUAAAAAAUGGAUGCAAGUUUGAAGAAAUAUUUCAUUUUUCCUUUUUUCAUAGUUGAAAUUUCUGCUUCCUCCAUCUCUUCAUCAUCAUCCAAGAUAGUAACACUAGUGGUACGUUUUUCUUUUUCUUUUUGGGCAGUCUCUUUCAAUUUCCCUUGCAUAGUAAACCGCACUUCAGGACUAACUUUUGGGCAUGCUACAACCUCUCCUUUAAUACCAACAAGAUGUUUCUUAACCCUAUUUAUUCCACCACCACCUAUAACUUUUUGACAAAAAUUACAUAUCCAUGCCUUUUUCCCCUUCUCAUCAACGACUUGAGUAACAUGUUCCCAUGCUAUAUCCGUGUUUGUUCGUACAUUUGAUUGAACCGAAGAAUGGGAUUGAGCUUGAGAUUGUGCUUGCAAUGGUUCUUCUUCCCUUGAUUCCAUAUUUAACUGCAUUGAAAAGUAAUGUUAUAAUCAAUAAACAUAUGUCAAUUGUAUCCUAAUUACAUAAUCUAUACAAUCAAAACCUUGAAACAAUGAUCAAUUAACAAUAAAUGAACUCUAAACUAACCAAAUAUGUCACAAUCACAUAUUUCACAGUCAAAAGAAAAUUGAUUUCAUAACUAGGUAGAGAAGCAACAUUCGAAUGGUCAACUAAAAACCCGGGUUUUAAAACAUUGGGAUUAAGUACACAAAACAUAAAAACAAUACAUUACGUGAUCGAAAUUUACAUGUGUUGAUUUCAAAAACCUUCACGUUCCAAUGGUAAAAAAUAUACAAUAACUUAUUCAAAAACUAAUAAGUUUUAUAAAAUCUACAUCGGAGAUGAUCUUAUCAAUUUCUGGUUUCCAAAUUUGAAUUAUAAAAUAAAUUGAUAAAUACAAACAUCUUAAAAUCAAUAAAUUAACUUACUAAAGAUUAUUGUUAUAAGAAUUACCUAAACUUGAUCAAAUUCCACAUUGGUAUAUCUACCGAUAACAAGGCAAUGAUACCAAAAAGAAAAUGUUUUUUUUAUUGAUUACGUCAAACUUCAAAAUGAAUAUAAAACAUAUAUAAUUCUUCUAUUAAUACAACUGACUAAUUAAGUGAUAAAUAUUGGUUGAUAUUGACAAAUAGAUUUGUUUACAUUCCACCCACUUCACCUUUGAUUUGUUUUUAGAUUUAAACUUUUUCUCAAUAAAAUUGACAAAUUUAAACAUGAAACAACCAAUAAUUUUGACAAAUAUUGGUUGAUAUUCAUAAUGAAAGUAUUCCAUUGUUAACUUCAGUGAUAAAUUGAACAAGAUGCUCAGAAAGAGAAGCAACAUAACCUGUCACACCCCAAAACCAUGAAUGGUAGAAACAUUCUGGGGCGGAGGACGUCAUGUACAAUAUCACAAACAAUGAAUAAUAGUAAACAAGCAACAACAUCAUCAAUUGCAUUAAUAAUAUAAUUUCAUACAUGUGUGUUCUGUCAAAGUUAUAAACACCAAAAAUAUACAUAUCAAAAUAAAAGAUGAGUCUUGAACGAACUCCAUCUUCUCAAAAGCCUGGCACCUGUACCUGUCUAGUGGUGACCUGAGAAUACAAGUUAUUUUGAAAGCGAGUAUCAGCUUAAUGCUGGUGAGAUCAUAAGUAUAUUAAUGUCUGAGUUUGUAUGAAAACGUUUGUAAAAUGUUUCUAUAAGAUGUUUUGUAUAAUGUUUGAGCUCUCCUAGAAAACCCUAUGUUUCCUACUAACUAUAGCCUUCUACCAAGGCAUCUAGUGUCUGUGUAUAUGUCUCUUGAUAGAGUCUGUGUUUUCCCCAAUUCAGACUAUCAUUAACCAAAAAUAUAGAUUCUACAUUAUCGUGCAUCGUGUGAAUAUUCACGAAGUGAAUGUUAAUGGAAAAAAUGAGAUAGUACUAUGGUGUAGUGUCGUACUACAACCGUACUAAUUACCUUAAGUCUAGGGUAAUUCUUAUAAGUACUGUAGUAUUUGUAAUAAGUGACUAACUCUGUACUCCUAUUGCCUUAUUUGAGGGAUAAGGCCUAAUGUGAUGGCUAGAUCCCAGGCUAGNCCCCCCCCCAAUCAAAGGGAUUUUGGGACCUUUACACGACUCCUGCAUAUUUGCACGCCGUGAACAUCCACAUUACUAUGAUCAUGUAUACCCGAUAUAACUAUAACACUACGUUGUGAUUCAUCGGUAUAGUUAGAUCCUGAACUUGUUCUAUGCUAUAGCACCUAAUGAUGUCUGUCCUAUUAUCGUAUAUGUAAACGCACUCAUGUAAACAUAUCUAUGUAAACGUACUCAUGUAAGCUUACUCAUGUAGCGUAAUCAUGUAAACAUAUCUAUAUAAUAGUAUGGUAAUGUACUGUAAUGUUCUGUGUGUGCUAGCUGUAAUGUGUGUUCUCUCUCUAUCUAGCAUGUAUAGUAAUGUACUGUGUGCACUAGCUGUAAUGAGUGUUCUCUCUCUCUUUAGCAAGUAUUGACUCAUGAAUGAACUGACUCAUUGUAUGUUUCAUUGUUCUAGUAAUAAUAAUAGUAUCCUCCUGUGUUACCCCUAUGGUAACUUAUUAGUGAUGUACUGGUACGUAUGAACAUGGAAGUAUACCCUUGCUACCCAAGGGUACCGAAUGAACUAGAAGGAUCUUUUAUGACUAUAUAUGUACACAUGAUAUAUAACUAAUAUUUAAACGAACAUCUCAAGCGCGAAAAGGAAAUAGGGUGGAUAGCCUUCGUAAGUCCUUUAAACAUUUCUUAUAUAACUAUACAUACUUAGAUAUGCAAUUGAUAAUAAGUAAAACAGAGUUAAGCAGAUGUAUUUGAUAAGUAUAAGAACUUGUAAAACAGUUUGAAGCAAAACAGUUUGAUAAACAAUUUAAACAAUAAGGAAAUCAUUGGUUUUGUAGUUAUUAAUCACAUGUGAUUGAUGUAAUAACUAUAAGUAUUUGACUUGUAUCCCCCCCUCUCCCUAUAUAAGCAUUUAAAAACAUUUAAACCAUUGAUUAAGGGGUAUGAACUCACUUGUGGUGAGUGGAUUGGAUUGGAGUGUCGGGUACGGUGCUAGGUGACAAAUGGAGACUUGUACACACGCACGAGCCUAGUUAUCAUAUAAUGAACAUAUAUAUAACUAAUUAGCCAAUUUAUAACUAAUAAAUUAAGUUGGGACACUCUAGAACAAGAAAACACUUUGUUUCAAGUGUUAAAGAUCACAAGGAUUGCAUCCAAGUGUUGGUAGGGCAAAGCUAGGGUGUUUAGAGUUCAAGGGUAAACUCUCUUGGAGUUCACGGUUUUGAUGGUCAUAACCCAAGGAGUUUACGACAGUAAACUCUAGGGUUUACGGUCGUAAACUCUACUCCUAUUGACCAUGUGUUGUUUUGUGGUUUAACAAGCCUUUUGAAGCAUUUCUACUAGGUGAUUUGGCCUUUGGAAGGGACUAGGGCAACAAAAACACUCCUUAGAGGAGUUUACGGCCUCAUGGUCAUUCCCCUUUGGGUUUACUACCGUAAACCCUUAUGGAAAAGGGUAUUUCCAUGUUUUCAAGUCCUUAACACAACUAGAUAAUAGUCUAAGUUAGUUUUUAGGCCUAAGGAAGGAAAAUGACCCAUUUAAACACACUUUAGGGUGUUUACGGUUUUGGGAGAUCCCCAAACCGUAAACACCUAUAAAUGUUGGUCUUUGGUGUUUUUCAAGGCUUAGACACAAUAAGGGAAGGUUUAAACUUGUCAAGGAUGGCUUAAACAUCAAACUAGGACUUAGAUUAGGGACUUAGGCACCAUUUGUGCCUUUCUUGGUGUUUACGGCCCAAGAACAUUCUUGGACCGUGAACACCUUUAACCUUGUGUUCUUGGCAUAAUUUCUUGAUGUUUAAAUGUAAUACUAGCUUAACAACACUCAAGGAAGGAAGUACUUACGAUUAAGAGGCUUGAUUUGAGCUAAAAGUCCAAGAACACUUAGUGUGUGCUCUUGGUGUUUUGGAAAUCUAGACAAAAUACAUAAAUGAAUGGAUGAAUAGAUGUACAAACACUAGAUUAAGUGUUUUACUAACUUAAAAUGGUUAGAACACUUACAACUUUGAAGAUUUGGAAUCAAAUCUAGGACGAUACUUAAAAGCCUUUUUGGAGUUUACUUUUUUGGGUAUUUGGGGAGUAAACACAUAAUGACUAGUCUUGGGGAGUAAACUCAUACAUAUGUAUGAGUUUACGGUUUUUGGGAUGAUUUUUCAACCCAAACAUAAUAGUUUGGCCGGGAACUUCUAAGACACGAGGUGUUUGCGGUUUUUAAAAUUCAAAACCCGAGACGACACUUUCUUUCACCCGAUCGUUUAAAAAUAAUAUUAAAAUAAUAUUUCUUAAAAAUAAGAAAUAAUGACAUUAACUUAUGAUACGAAGUGGUUGACUUUUAGGGUUUGACCGAAUGGAAAUUUCGGGUUGUCACAUAACCCAAUCAACCACAAACUUGUAAUACCAAACAAAGAUAUGCUUCAGAAAUCGCAAAUCAUUAACUAGAUAGACUCAAAAUUGGAUGAUUGGAGUAAGUGGAUUAGUAAUAGAGGGGGAAUUGGUCGCUGUUUUGCAGGAAAAUAAGGAUGCAGGAAAACAAAAAAACUCACCUGGAGAAGAAUGAAAUCGCUGUGCUCGCUGCUUGCCUGCUUCAGUUGCUCCUUCAAUCUCCUUCAACGACUAUAGUUCAAUCGUUGUUGAUGUCGUUCCUUGGUCGCUGCUUUGUUUCUUCCAGUUGCUUUUCUUUCCCAGAGGAGACGAGUUUGUUUUCCCUGGAGAGAGCCGAUCUCACUUAAUUAUCCAAACCCUAAUAAACGGGCCAAUCCGGGUUUUUAGCGGUUCGAGAUACCCGGUUCAACCGUGAUUUAGUGUAAACCCGGCCGGUUCGAUCCGGUCGGUAUUUUUACAAAAACCCGCUCUAAUUUGACCCACCUUUUAUCCUGGAUCACGGUCCAACCGGUUGAACCGGCCGGGUCGACCCGAGUUUUAAAACAUUGGGAAAUGGUACUAGUGAACAAGAGAGAACAAAAGAGAGAGAGAGAUAAAUGGUUUUGAUUCGAUGCGAGAACCUGUGAGUGGUUUCAAUCCACACCACCAUUACACCCCACCAUUACACCCAUUGAGGAUGAUUUACUAGUGAACAUCUCUUUCACAUACUUCAAAUGAAGUCCAUACCUCAUGGCCUAUUAUUAAAAUUUUGUGAUUACCACCCAAAACAAACCAUCAUAGAUCAUAUAUUUAACAAAGGCAAAAAAGAGAAAAUGACAAAUGAGUUCUCUUUGUUUUUAGUGAAGCUGGCCGGUUUAAACCUCGGAAACAUGGAGAAUAUUCGUCGCGAAUGAGAUCGAUCGCCGAAUAUCCUCCUUGAUUGUUUCAAUCCAAUAUUUUAUCCAUCCAAGCCAUUGUCAAACCUCUAUUCCUCUCUGUAUAUAUACGUACAUCUGGAACAGACGUGUGAUUUAUACCAAGUCAUCCAUAUUCCCAAAUUUCGACUUGUUUUCUAGGGUAAGAGGUGGAAUCAUCGAACAAGAUGCAAUUCCGUAAGCUUCUGAAUAAAUUGAUCGACGAGAUGAUGCCGGAUUGGAGAGAUAAGUUUCUGUCUUAUAAAGAUCUGAAGAAGCAAUUGAAGCGGGUUUACUCCAGAGACGGUCGCUGUAACAAGAGGAUGAAAUUGAGCACCGGUGACGACAUUGAGCCGGCGGUGGACGAGAAGGCGGUUGCUGAUUUCGUGAAAUUGUGCCAGGAGCAAACCGACAAGCUUAACGAUUUCGUCCUUGAAAAACAAGAGUGGUAUAUCAUCAAACUGGAGGUAAUUUUGAUUUCUAAAUUUCGAAUUGAAUCGUCAAUACCUGCAUCUCGAUUGUGCUGUUAUCAAAUCCUAUAAUUGUUCCUGUUUACAUCUUAAUUGCUAAAUGUUACGUUAUCUCUUCCAUAAACAGAUGGAAAUUCGAUAUUCAUCUCAAAUUUCGAAACUUCACGGAUGAUCAUUUCUGUUAUUGAAUUCGUUUCAGUUGUUGGCUCUUCAUAUGAAUCUAACCAAUUAGUGUUAUAAUGUUGGGUUAUCACUUUAUUGUGCACAAUUCAUGCAUACUGUCACAUAUCUAAUGCAAAUCAUUUUAAAGGUGCUAGAAGGUAACUUGAUCGCAGCCAAGGAUUCAAGUGAAGAGUUGAGGAAAGUUGCUAGAGACCUCGCAGAUUUACAUGGGGAGAUAGUUCUCUUGUUAAAUUACAGUGCACUCAAUUACACAGGUAUUCACUAACCUCUACAGUCUUCAUUUCUCCAAACAAUUUAGUAUCUCCUUCUUUACAGUUUCAAAUCAUGUUACAGGAUUAGUUAAGAUACUGAAGAAACAUGACAAACUAAGCGGAGCUCUUCUUCGUGUGCCUUUCAUCCAAAAAGUUAUGAAUGAGCCAUUUUACAAAACUGAUGUUCUAAACAAUCUUGUUAAGAAGUGUGAGAUGAUGCUGGACCAAUUUUUAUCCACGAAGCAACAAAGUUCAUCCCCAUCUGAAUCAGGAAACAGGAAAGAAGGAAGGAGUUCUGAACCAAAUGAGGAGUCGUCUUCUGUUAGGGUUCCUGAAGAACUGGUUGAUAUUGAGAACAGGGAGAACACAUACAUGAAACAAACUCUUUCAGCACUUAGAGUUUUGUCAGAAAUUCGAAAUGGAAGCUCGACUGUAAACUCGUUUUCACUACCCCCGAUGCAACAGAACAAGGAGAGGGAGGAGGUAUGGAAGAAAACUUAUGUUGUUGAAGAAGUUGCUAAGUGAAUCAACAACACCCAUAACUUUGUAACAAACAGCCUUUGAUUUUUGAACAAAGGAGGAAUAAGAUGAACAGUUGGUUUUUUCUUGGGACGAUAACCUGUAAUUGAUAAUUAGGAAUCGAUAAUGUAAUAUAUUUUCUUUUAUAAUCACAAAAUUUGUGACAUCUAAUUAAGUUUAUUUAUACCAGUUUGGUCUCGGUUUUUUUAAUGGGGACUAGCUGAAACAGGUCAUUUAGUUCACAAUAAAAUGAAACAAAGAGGACUAUCCCUACAAGAAAACUCAAAAUUGGACUGGAUAUGUCAUUUUCACCAAACAACAUGGAGCGUGCGAAAGAGGACUCAAUCUCAAAGAAUAGAAACAUGCAAACAUUUUUUGUGAAGCGUGACGGAGCUUUUUCGCAAAGAUAUAAAGUUUGGUGAAUACCAAACAAAAGACAAAUUAUGACUAAAAUUUGUGACGUAAAACAAAAUAGUCAUGGAAUUUAAUAGAAUGUAUAAGAAUUUGUGCAACCAUCGAAAAACCCGUCAAAGUGAUAGGACACAUGUUGACUAGGCACUUCAGAUAUACGGAAUAAAAAUAAAAAUAACGAGAAACCUUCAAAUUUUUAUUGAGUUUUGGAAAGGUGCUGUAAAAAGCCCAAAAUGGAAUUUGGUGGAAACA